UUUUUUUUUUUUUUUUUUUUUUGUAAAACCAUUUGAAACAAACGCCAUUCCCGUGUGGGAGUAUGUAAUAUCUCCAUCUUUCACCAGAACACGAGGGUAGGGUGUAGCCUACAUCUUUUCGGCAAAACACAUUCAAGAAGUGCAAUACCAUGGUAACGUGCAACACAAGAACUAACAUCUUCUGAGUGCAUCCGUCAGAGCAUGACCCUCACAGCCCCAACGGGUUCUUAGCCAAAUGAGUAUGCUCUCAAGACAUUCAAAUGGCUGGGGAUUUUGUGAGUCAUUGACCACUUACAAGAGGUAAAUAAGUAUAAAGAAGGACGAUGAUCAUGAAAGGAAACCAUAGAAGACUGGAGAUAUAAAGGUAUGCAAAACGACAAUCCAACUACAUGUAAAUGCAUCAUGUAAGAAACUACCAAGAGGAAGAGAGUAUGAUGUAACCCUACAACUAUGCAUAACACAAAAACAGUUGAGGACGCCAAACAGUCGAGAAAGUAGUAUGUCCUCAAUACCAACAACUAGUAAAAAAAAAAAAACAACCGAACCUAAACAUCCUAAACACAGGCAGUUCCAAUGAACAAAUUAGGUAUAUAGAUGCGGAAGGGGUGUAGUGACAAUGAAACAGUUAUCAGAUGAGCGACUACCAGUUAACACCAAGACAUGAUUGGAAUUAAAAACAUCACACUUAUCAUCCUCAAACACAACCUUAAACCUAGCAUCACAUAACUGACUAAUACUCAAUAGAUUGGACUUAAGACCCUUAACAAAAAGAAGCUCAUGACUAUUGAGCGAUCCAACCUCAGAAAAGUUACCUUUACCUUCAACCGGAAGCAUUUUACCAUUUCCAAAACUAACCUUACCUCCAUAACCAAGAAUCAGAUUAUCAAUUAGAGUCUUAUCACCUGUCAUAUGACGCGAACAACCGCUGUCAAGAUACCAUGAAGAAGGCAUUGGUUCAACCAAACGAGCCAUGUGAGAUACCAUUUUCCUGGAUGCAUCCAUACUCCUAUCCCAGAAGUGUGGUGGUGGAGUAGGCAUGGGUGUUGCUUGAGGACGAUUUCCAUAAGGAGAAGUUCUGGGUAAACCCCACGGAGCAUAGCCAUUCCACAUGUAUGGAGCCUGCAUGGAGAAAGUGGAAGACUUGUUCCAAUAUGAGUUGCCUGCAAAAGAAGGAUGAUGAGCAGGAUACAAGUUAUUCCAACAAAAAGCAGAAGUGUGACCCAUGCGACCACAGGUUAGACAUUUAAAGCCUUUGUGUCUAGAAUUCUUUUUCGGGACAUGCUUUACACGAGUGACCUUGGGUGGAGAACCCACACCAGACACCUGCACAGGAGCAGGAGAAGCGACACCUGCUGGUCUGACAAAAAUAGUACGGGAGGUGCUAGCAGUAGAAAUAGGAACAGAUGUAUCAUAACCUAAGCCAGAUUUAUCUGAAUGGGAUUUACCAAUUCCCAGCAGAGAGUUUAGAUUAUCACUAGCUUUACCAAACCCAACCAAUUGUUUGUUAGCAACAAACAACUCAGCUUUUACUUUCUCAUGUUCCAAUACAAGGGAUCGAUACCGUGUCUCCAGUUCAUUAUUCAGUUUUUCCAGAGUAGCAAUACGCACUUGGAAAUCCUCCUUUUCCUUCACAAAUUUUUCUUUCAACAUGUUUGAGUCACCUGCAAGAUUACAAAUAUCCUGCCCAAGACUAUCUACCUGUUCCUGUAAGACAGUGUUAGUUUUUUCAAACAACUUUACUUGUUGCAUGGAAAACUUAUACAUAUCACAUAAUUCACUAGUAGUAGCAUGAACACCAGAAUCAGAAACAUUAAUAUCAUCAGUAGAGGAUACAAUACCUCCUGGAUGCUCAUCCAGGGAUGCACUGAAGACCACAUAGUUGGAGACAACAUUUGAGGGAUUGCCAUCAUCAUCGUCAUCUGAAUCAUCCCAUGUCACUGUGAGGUUUGCUUUGGAAUUAUCACCAGGUUUGCGAUCCACUUUCUUGUCACAUUCAUUUGCAAAGUGUCCAUAUUCACGACACUUGUAACAUUGGACAUCUUUACGAUCAACUCGAGCUCUUCUCCCAUCCACAGAGAAUCGCUCAAAACCACGACUCCUAGGAGCAUUUGAUGGAUCAGGAAAUCGCUUCCGAGGGUCUCGAUUCUGUUGAUAUUUCAGAAUCUUCUGAAAACUACGUGACAGAAAAGCAUAGUUAUCAUCCACAUCCUGUUCUUCAUCAUCAGAAGGUCCUGUGAAGGUUUCUUUAGACGAUGUAGCUUUGAAUGCCACAGACUUGUUCUUCAAAGGUUCUUCCAAGGCCUGUUCCAUCUCACAUGUCCUUAGUUUCCCGGCAAGUGUCUCAAUGGACAUGUUCUUAAUCACAUUGCUCUCAGUAAUGGCAUCCUUACGAGAACGAAACCGAGGAGGCAAUGCACGCAAUAUCUUACGUACCACUUGUGUGUCAGUAUAUGCAUGUCCAAUAGCCGCACUGCAGUUUAUGAUGUCUUGAAGACGAAUAAAGAAAUCAUCAAAAGUCUCAGAAUUAUCCAUCCGUAGAUUCUCAAACUGAGAUGUUAACAGUUCCAGCUUGCUUUCUUUGACAGUUUCGUCACCUUCAUGUGUACAGAUAAGCCUGUUCCAUGCAUCUUUAGCCUCUUCACAUCCUUGCACACGACGAAACUCACUGGCAUUUAAUGCCAUGAAAAUAGCAUUGAGUGCCUUGUUGUUGUAAUUUGCCAACACCUUCUGUUCAUGCGUCCACUUUUCACGUGGCGUCAGUGAUGUAACAACAAUAUCAUCAGUACCUGUAGUAGUCAGAGGUUCUUUCCACCCUGUAACAACAGAAAGCCAGACUUCUUCUCCUAAAGCUUGGAGAUAAGCUCGCAUCCGUACUUUCCAAUGACCAAAGUCUUUUCCACUGAAUUGUGGAGGAAGACUUGAAGUAGCAAACUUAUGAGUUCCAUAAGCACUAUUGAUCGUUAGCGUGAGCCUUUACGCUCCUUAACCAGCCCCCAGCGACUGAUACCAAUUUAGAAACUACAAAUAGUGCUAAUAUAACAAUUGAAUAUUCAACCAAACAAUCAAACAAUACGCAGAAAGUAAAUAACACACAGAAAUUUUUAACGUGGUAAAACCCAAAAAGGGAAACGUCCACGGUUGUCCUCGCGACAACAAAUAAUCCACUAGAUGAAAAGAGAUGUACAAACCUACCAACUACCUGCACUCACUGCGAGUUGAUACUCCUGGUUAUCUCUAACACCUUGACUUCACCAGAGCACCUUGAUGUACGCACAAGACACUCGACUUCUUGAUGAACACACAAGAAGACUCGAAGCCGAAAUCACAAUUAACUUUAGAAGAUCACAGAUUGAUGAAUUGAGAGAAGGGGGAAAGAAGGGAAUUGAGUUCAAUAGCCACAAACACUUUCAACACCAAAACCUAAACAAAAACUCAUGAACUAGAAGAAGAAUGGACGGCCAAAGAACUAACUUGUUCUUUGGAAUGGAAACCCUAUUUAUACUUAGGGUUGGAAACCAAGGAAAAUGGGCCGAAAUAGUGAAAACCCACUUUGGACGUACGUGAAACCGGCACGAAGUGGUUUGACAUCAAUUUUGUGACAAAGUGUCUUUGGUUAUCUCGCCUUGAAUUCAUUGUUAGGAAAACCAAGAUGUACGCAUGGUCGUCUCGUGUCCUUGUGUCUCUUAGGUCCGUCUAGGGAAAGUUAUUGGGUUCUGGACGUACGUACCGAGUUAGGACGUACGUACGUUCACUGAAGCAGCGAACUUAUUUUGGUCAGGACGUACGUACUCAAUUAGGACGUUCGUACGUCCAGGUAGUCAGCAGACAUGUUUUCGUAUGGAGACGUACGUACCUGUUUAGAGCGUUCGUACGUCAUGUUAGGCAGCAGGCUUAUUUUUGUGUGGCGACGUUCGAACGUCAUAUCGACGUACGAACGUCCAAAGUCGGUUUGCACAGUUUCGGCCCAUUUUCCUAGGUUUUCAACCCUAAGUAUAAAUAGGGUUUCUCUUCUACAGAACAAGACAGUUCUUUGGCCGUCCAUCCUUCUUCUUGUUCAUGUGUUUUGGUUAGGUUUUUGGUAUUAAACUUGUUUGUGGCUAUUGAACUCAAUUCCCUUUCUUCCCCCUUUUCCCAAUUCAUAUCUUUGUGAUCUUCAAGAGUUAUUGUGAAUUCGGCUUCGAGUCUUCUUGUGUGUUCAUCAAGAAGUCGAGUGUCUUGUGCGUACAUCAAGGUGCUCUGGUGAAGUCAAGGUGUUAGAGAUAACCAGGAGUAUCAACUCGCAGUGAGUGCAGGUAGUUGAUAGGUUUGUACAUCUCUUUUCAUCUAGUGGAUUAUUUUGUUGUCGCGAGGACAACCGUGGACGUUUCCCAGUUUGGGUUUUACCACGUUAAAAAUUUUUGUGUGUUAUUUACUUUCUGCGUAUUGUUUGUUUGUUUGUUUGAAUUCACAUUUGUUAUACUAGCACUAUUUGUAGUUUCUCAGUACGUACGUCGAUAUGACGUUCGUACGUCUUUCACACGAACCGAGCUUGCUGACUGCUUAGACGUACGAACGUUCUAACUCGGUACGUACGUCCUGACCAAAACAAGUCUGUUGCCUACCAUGACGUACGUACGCCCUAACUCGGUACGUACGUCCUAAACCAAAACUUAUUUUUGACACAUGGACGCAAGAACACAGACUCGGGACGAUGUGCGUACAACUAGGUUUUCCUAACAAUGAACUCAAGGCGAGAUAACCAAGGACACUUUGUCACAAAAUUGAUGUCAAACCACUUCGUGCCGGUUUCAGCCUGUUGGUGGCUUCCCCCACCUUUCCAUUGGGAAACUAAAACUAGAUCUUGGAGAGUUGGAGGUGGAUUCAUCCACCCCACCCCCAAAUCUACCUCCCAUUGGGAAUGCUGGCCCUUAUCAUGCAUGAUGACUGACUUGAUGCGGUGGUUUUGCAAUCACACUUUUGGUCACGCCUAUUCAUUCAAACUUCAUAUGUAUAUGCUAACCCGUAGACAUGUAGUAUAUUUAUUUGUACUUUAAAUAAGCCAUCACUAGUUCGUUUUGUUAAAUUCAAUUGAAGUUUUGAUGAAUAAAAAUCAAAGCAGACUUCUUAGGUAAAUAAGAUAUUGGUGAAAAUUGAAAUUUGGAGGAUAAAUAGAUAUUGGUUGUUAAAUUUCGUUGGGAAAGCUAGAUAACAACUUUGUUAAUAGUGUUACUCUACCGCUUCAGUUUUAUCAAAACUCAUGUUUAUUAAGGCCUUGUAAUUUAAGUUGCCAAGUAUAAUAUAGUUUAUAUAGAUAACAUGUUUGUCUCAAUGUAAAAAAAAAUUAGUUCUCACUCUACGCUGCUGUACCGAUGAUUCCGUUUCUCAAUUCAUCAAAAUUCAACUUACUCCAUUCCCCUUCCUCAUUUUUUGUUGGGGUUUGGCCCUUACCAUAUCAAUUUGCUUGUUUCGGAUUGUUGACUGAUUUUAUUUUAUAAAUAAAUUAUUACGUACUUCAUACAUUAUUAUGUAAUCCAAAUUUGAAGUACGUAAUAAUUUGUUUUCGUCCAUGCUCAUAUGUCCAGUAUUUGGUUAUGAUGAUUAAGUUGUAUCAUUUCAAAUUUGCACCUGACAAGGAAUUGCCCAUUGUACAUAAAGGGGAGGGCUCCCUUGAUGGUUAGAUUGACAUGUCGAGCGACAGUUUCAUUGAAGUAUAGACUGAGUUUAAUUGUGUUUGCUUGUCGUUACAUUGCUCUUGGCUAUUCUGUGCCUGAUAUUAGACAGAUAAUAAUUUUGUCUCUGAAUAUAACUUCAUUUUUCAUGGAUGAUCCCACCUAAUAGGAAUUGAAUGCAAGGUAAUUGAUCAGGGUUAGCUGACAGAGAGACCAGAAGUUUCUUUUUUCCAUGACCAGCACUGAGACUUUCAUCUUGAAGACGGUUAUUAUCAUGCACGAUGACUGACUUGAUGUGGUGGUGGGUGCCCAGGGGAGACAGUAAUGUGUCCCUGACAUAAUGGUACAUACAAUGGCACAUAAGAUCGACGAGUGAAUUCAUACCCUAUCGUCAGAAUCAAGGUUGAGAAGUUUGUCAAUAGUGUUGCUAUAGUUUUAACACAAAUCAUAUUAAAAAAAAAAAAAAAAAAAGACACAACUAAUAUUUCAUUUGGGCUAUUAUAAUGUAUGUUAGCGGAGUAUAAGAUAGGUUUGAUAUACAAAAUAAUUAAGUUUUUAACAUGUCUCAAUCUACAAAAAAAAAUUAGUUCCCACUGUACCAAUGAUUAUGCUUUCUCUAUUCUACGAUAUCAACAUAUAACUUACUCAGUUACUCCAUAUCUCCUUUGCUCAUUUUGCCACCUAAAAGUGACCUCGCCGUUAUAUAUUUCUUUAUUCUUUGCAUUCUGAACCUUCUCAUCCUUGUUUGGCGACAAUGGGUUAUCAAUCGGUGCCACUUCUAGCUCUUUCUCAUCUGACAAGAUAUUGUCUACCUUAUAAGAAGGCGAGGGCUCACUUGAAGGAUAUAUUGAAUAGUCUAACGUAUAAGAAGGUGAGGGUUCCCUUGAAGCAUAGAGAGAAUUGUGAUUGCUUGUAUCCCGCGAAGGAUGAAUUGAAUUGUGUUUGCUUGUAGCUACAUUUCUCUUGGCUAUUCUGUGCCAGUUCUUUAGACCAUCAAUAACUUGUUCUGUGAAUACAACUUUCUUCAUCGACGAUCCCAUCUAAUACCAAUAGAAUGUUAACCAAAUGAAUGAAAAUCUUUAUUGCCGAGUCAAAACUAUGAUUAUAACUUCAUCAUCGAUGAAUUAUGAACUUUACCUGUGUAACCAAUGCAUAUAAAGGUAAUGUCACAUAACCACAUAGAACUUGAACUAAGAAUCCAACAACUAUUCUCAAGACAAUGUCCUCAGUUUUUCUGUGGAAGCAAGACCUUAAUCCAUACUUGUACUGUAUUAAAUAAAAAUCUAGUCAGGAAAAUGUACAUAUAUAUUGGGAAGUGUAUAGCUAUGAGCUUGAUAUACCUACCCAUGUCCAAGUAAAGAAUGCCAAUUGAAAGGAAUUCUGCAAAACAGAACAGAACAGAGCAAUGCACUCAUAAGAACAUUAUUAAUGCGUCAUACACACGAUAAAUGCAUGAAAGAUCAGUUAUCUAUUACUUACCUGAAACAAAAUGAAAUAUAUCAAAUGGAGAAGCAACUGUGGUCUACCAAACCAGAAGAGAUUAUCACUAGGCUUCACUAGUAAGGUUCCUCUAACAACAGUUGACUGAUCUCGGCUUUCCAAACACAUUUUUGUUAUAAUAACUUGUAACUUUGUUCCGACUAAUAAAAGGGUCUGCAAAGAAACAAAGAAUAAACAUAAAUGAUCCCCCACAAUGCGAAGAAAAGAACGGUUGAUCCAAAAUCCUGAAAUGGAAUUAUUUGAGCGAAUUUUAGUGUUACCAGUAAAGGAAUAAAUGGAAGCCAUAGAUAGUUAUAAAACCCUGCAACACAUAUAGUAAAGUUGAGCCAAGUUAGUUUUCUCUAGCUAGCUUGGUAGAUCGUAAAUCAUCUAAGUUAUCAGUUUUCUCUAGAUAGGAAAUAAGUGUUACCAUGUGCUUGGAAGAAUAUGAAAAAGAUAGCAAGUAUCCAGACCCAUAGACUGCCAUGGAAAAACAUGCCAAUCUCAAAUUAGUCCUAUUUCGGCUUAAUGAAGAAAUAAAACUCAGUGAUUAGUAGUGUCCAUGCAUCUGUAUUUGUACCUCAUUCCCACGACAACUUGAAAGUCUUUAUCCAAUGCCCUCCUAAUAAACUUUUGAAAAUCAAAUUUGCUUGUUUCUGCAAAAUGAGCCUAAAGACAACCAAAGAAGUUAAUGUUUGAAGAAAAGAAAAAAAAGUGAACUAUAUAUGCAUGUACACUCACUGACAUACCAUGAUAAAUCCGUGUCGAAGAAUGAAAUAAUCUGUUUUCGAAACUGAGCCAUAAAACUGUCUGAUAAAACAAGCCUGCACGAAACUUUAAUCAGAAAUGCAGGUACAUAAAACAUUUUCCUUUGAAUGUAUAGGGAAUAUGAGUUGCAAAAAGUUUGUAGUGAAACUAACAGGCCAACGAAGUAUUCGGUGAUUACUCCAGAACCUCAAAUGCCGCCUUGCAAAUGAUGUUUGAUGAGUUAGUCUGAAUCUUCUCGGAUCUAAAAUUUGUUUAAUCAUUAGCAUUAAUCAUUGAAGAACGAUCUAAAAUUUGUUUAAUCAUUAGCAUUAAUCAUUAAAAAGUACAUAAAAGUAGUAUAUAUACUCUAUGUAGUUUAUGUACAUUGGCAGUCACUUUGCCGUAAAGUAUAUAUACUUUCAAUGAAAUUGAUGUCAUAAUGUGGUUGCUAUAUAUGCCACAAAAAAAAAACGAUUCUCUCUGCAAAUUUCUUUUAAUAAUAUGCAUUACCUUUUUGAGAAAAACAAAAGAUUCAUUAACAUUUUAGUUUUUGCAAUGAAUUGGUGAGGUUGUAAAGACAUGAGACGUGUUGCUGCUUGUGUCCCUCCAAAAGCCUAAACAUAUUGUCCAACAAGUUAAACUUGAAAACGACGACAUCAACAUCAAGUAUCAUUAACAUCCACGGCUGUGGGCUCUGCGGUCAUAAUUUAGCGACCCCGGCGUUGAUAAAAGACGUGAAAUGAAAAUAAAUGGACCUCUGUAUAGGACUACCUUAAUUAAUCUUCCUGACCUAAGCUCAUCUGUACUAUCUGUCCUAUUCAAGAAAAUUUCAACAGUUUAUAUACAAUCGAGCACCUAAAAGCUUACCAUUAGAGAAUUGAUAUUCAAGUGUUUUUGUCUCCUCUUCCCAAGCUUUCCAUCUUCUCAUCUAGAUUAGAAAAAAGAAAAAAAAAUUACAAUUAGUCAUUAAUGAAUAAUUAACAAUGACUUUUAUGUGUUAAUAGACACUUUUUUUACUAACUUUCCUACUUGGCUGCUACAUAUGUAUAUUGUUGUUAGUUUUACUCUAUUACCUACAGAAUGCUCUAAUUUUCAAUGUUGUUGACUAGUAGUAGAGUUACUUAGGAAAAAUGAAUAUCAUUUCCAAUCUCAAAUCCACACGUUUGGGAAGGUCAUGUAUGGUUUAGAUUAUUGCGCACUUUUUACGUGUCCCGCGUGCAAUCAAUGCAUGACAACGAUAUAACCAGGUUGAUACAGUCGUCUACGUUAUGGACAGGCGGAAUUAGAAGAUUCCAUGCACAAGUUUGUUUGCACCUCAAGCUUUUGAUAGAAAUGUUCAAAUUCAAUUGAUUUUAGUUUAUUGAAUGUAACACAUGAUCAAGUUGCUUGAUCAAAUAUAUGAAUAUAUAUGUCUGUCACCUCGACAUUUGCUAUGUCAAUGCCUCGACAUUUGUUAAUUAUUCUAGUAGUUAAUUUCAAUUUGGAGUAAAUCAUACCUUAGCCAUUCCAAGAGCAAAAGUGAAAAUGCAAGAGAGAACAUGAAAUAAGGCCAAUACAAAGAUUAAGUACUGAAGAUGGUCUACUGCUUCUCUUGACAACAAUGAAACUUUUCCCUGAUGAUACAAGCAGGUAAUACAUAUAUUUACUCAAAUCAUCAUACUAAUUGGAAAAUGGUGAAAUUUAGAUAUAUUUGUUUCCUUCAGAAAUUGUACCUUCUCUUUGCAAGAUGCUUCUUCGUCGAAAUUGCUCCAAUCUUUUGUAUUGUCGCACGGAAGAAACGUUUCGCUUUUGCUCUUUGGGAUACAAAUCUUGGAGAUAGACCCUUGGCUGACUGUAAGUGAGAAUGAAAUGAAUCCCAAAAGCAUUAACUCUGUAUUAAGAAGAAAAUGCUAAUUAAGUUAGUACUUGUGAAUUGUGAAAUAUAUAUAUGUUCAAAGCACUUGUUCAUCAAUGUUCUUCAAGCUCAUAUAUACCUGAUUGUAUCUUGUAUAGAGCUUGAUUUAGAGACUUUCUUUUUCUACUAAAGAACUGCCAGAAUAUAAAAUUAAUGAGUUGCAUGUAAGUAAUAUUUCAUCCAAACAUAUAGAGUACAUUCAUCACCACCAUGCAUGGUGGUGGUGGUGGUGAUGAACAUGCUGUGGAACCAUACCUUUGUUAAGAAAUGGAAGACAUGUUCAAAGAUGAUAGAAAUGAAAAGCAAAACAAACACAACAACAGCAACAGCCCAAGUAGAUGUUUGUUCAAGUGAUGCAGCCUGGUUUUCUUCUUCUCCAGCCAUCUAUCUAUGAAUAAUUUAGUUUAAAGAAACUUCUAGUCUUCUAUAUGUUUGAUUUGAAGAAACACUUGGCCUUUAUAAAUGAUAUAAAACACCUAAAAAUGUGUUCCAAGUUCUCAUUUUAAUAGGUGAGCAAUUGUGUCAUAUGUACACGAGAAGUCAAACAAGUUACACGCUUCUUGUAUUUUAUAAAUUCAAUUUGGUCCCACAAAUUAACAUUAAAAACAUGAUUAGCAAUCUUCUUGUAUCAUUUCAAUAUGCAAAUCUUGACAAAUUUUUAUGUAUUGACUUUGAUGUUCAGAUAUUUCAAGAAAACUAUACUGUAUCAAAAUUAGUUGAAAUAUCAUUUUUUUUUUCCCAUGUUUUAAAAUUUAAAUCAGUCUCUGAUUUUUAUUUUGGUGUUACUGUAUUUAAGUUGAUACCGAGUUGAAAGUGAUGUCAUGUUGCUGUCUCAAAGAUGAUGGCUAAUAGACUCAAGAAAGUCCUUCACAAGGUGGUGUCUUGUUCCAAAGGUCCAUUCUUAGAGGAUAAACAAAUUCUAGAUAGCGUUCUCAUUGCUAGUGAAUGUAUAGACUCAAGAAAGUCCUUCACAAGGUGGUGUCUUGUUCCAAAGGUCCAUUCUUAGAGGAUAAACAAAUUCUAGAUAGCGUUCUCAUUGCUAGUGAAUGUAUUAACUCAAAAGAGAGGCAACGUCUCCCCGGAAUAGUAUGCGAAAUGAAUAUGUUGAAAGCUUACGAUCAUGUUAAUUGAUGUUUCCUAGACUAUCUCUUAGAAAUUAAAGAAUGGAGUUUGGGAAUAAAUGGAGCCGGAUCCACACGAGUAAUUCCACAACAAGAUUUUCUAACAUGGUGGAUUGGGAGCCAACCGGGAACUUCAAAUCCCAAAGAGAAUUGAGACAAGGUGAUCCGUUAUCUCCUUUCCUUUUCAUUUUCGUAAUGAAGGCGUUGGCCAAACUUACAUCAAUGUGCAUUCACCAUCGACACUUGAAUGUGUUUCAUGUGGGUAAUGAGGAGGUAAAAGUUGGAAUAUUGUAAUUCCCCGAUGACACAAUAUUCCUAGCCGAGGCCUACAUGCAAGCUAUAAACAUCAUUAAGAGGUGAUUCUUUUUAUCUUUGAAGCCAUGUCCGGGCUUCGAGUAAUGGGGAUAAAUCUUUUCUGCAUGGGGAGUGUACCUCAAGUUCAUGAUUUGACUAAUGCCCUUGGUUGUGGGGUUGGAAAAUUUUCAUGCAAGAAUUUUGAGCUCUAUUUAGGGGCAAAAUACAAGAAUAUGAAGUGUUGAAUUUGGUAGUAGAGUCUAACCAAAAAUGUUUGAAUGGGUGAAAAUGAAAGACUAUGUCCAAGGGAAAAAGUUAAUUCUUGCUAAGAGUACAUAGUCUAGCCGUGUAUCACCUCUCUUUCAUUACUAUCCCAUUAAGUGUGGCCCUUAAGCUUGGAAGAGGGUGGACUUAGUUUAAGGAAGGCUAAAAUCAUGAACAAAUCACUUUUAACAAAGUGGCUUUGGAGGUAUGGGACCGAACAUGGAUCCCUUUGGAAAAGAGUUAUUGAUGCAAAGUAUGGUGCUUGUGAUAACGGUAGAAAACCAAAGACGGUAACUCAAUCAUUUGGGUGUAGUCUUUAGAGAGGUAUUCAAGCUUUUGGCGAGACUUUCUUUGGAAACAUAAGGCAUGUGGUGAACCGUGGGGACAAAACUCGGUUUUGGUACGAUACAUGGCUUGGUGUGCUUCACAUUCUAUACAGUGGCUUGGUGUGAUUCACAUUCUAUACAAGUAUGCAUCAUUGAAAGACGGUGCGGUGAAGGACGAGCAUGGGUGAUCAUAUGUGGGAUCUCCACUUGAUAAGAUCCUUGUUGAGGGAAAGUGAACAAUUAUAAGUGAACAGUCUUAUGGGCCUACUUGCAAACAUCUCUUUCAAUGGUGAGGAAGAUGAAUGGGAAUGGCAUAAAGAGAAAUCCAAAGUAUUUUUCGUCAAAUUUUGUUAUGAGAUCUUGGCCGAGGACUAUGCAUCAAUGCAUGCAUGACGAAGAUAGGGUAUUUCCUUGGAGGCAAGUGUGGGAACCCAUUAUACCCACAAAUGUAAAAAAAAUUGUGGUCAUACUAUUGGAAUACCUUGUUAAGUCGACAAGUUACAAUGAAUGGGAAUCAUGUUACCUAAUUAGGUUUUGUAUGUGUAAAGAGGUGAAAGAAUCAAGCACUCGUCUCUUUAUGACUAGCAGGUUUACUAAGCGCCUUUGUGACGAGCUUGUGGCAGUUAAGGGAGAGGUGUGACAUUCAUUUAACAGUUGGAACUCUGCAACUAUGCCUACUGGAUAACUGGCCAGUGUUCACUAGUUGGGAGUUAGCACAACCAGUGUGGGAAGUUCUUCCCUUUGCAGUGCUUUGGGUGGUUUAGAGAAUGCGUAAUGAGACCAUUUUUAAUCGAUCAAAAAAGUAAUGAGGCCAUUUUUAAUGAAGGGGAGGUGAUCUUUAAAGUAUUGCAGGCUAUUAAGGCCGGCAGGAUUUGGAUGAGUAUCAGUAUAAGACCACGGAAUUGCGACAGAAUGUGAGGUUUACUGAUCUGCUAUAUGGCUGGAGACUGGUAAUGGCUGAAACAUGGUAAGGAGACAGCAGUAAUAUGAAUACAGUUCGGAAUACUUGGGUCUACGCAUUGUGAGGGUGGAAACAUCAGGGAGCAGCAGUUUUCAGCAACAGCAAACAGGAAUUGUGUUCUGCAGUCUGUAAUUAGUCACCUGUAAGGCUUCCUGUGGGUCUAAACAACAAGCAGUGCUUAUUUGAGCAUGCUGACCUUUGAUCAAAAAACAAAUGCAUUGAUGAUCAUACUGUACACAACCAGCAACACUGACAAGAAAGACUUCAACAGUUCAAUGACUACAGAACAUUUUGCAAAGGGUGGCACCAAUGCAACUCUUUAUAGAUGUCUAUUCUUAGCUUUCUUGAUCUUUCUUUCAACAUUCAACCAUUUGGAUACCAAAUUAUCAAACUAUAGCUCAUCUAAAACAAGACAUACUACAAAGAACUGACAUGUGACCUGCAGUAAUCCACGUUAUAUGUUGUAGUAUUGGUUUAACCACACUUGGCGUUUAACCAAAUGGGGAAGCCAUGAGCUACUGACGUGUUACCUGCAGUAAUCCCACUGUAGUAUUGGUUUAACCACACUUGUCGUUUAACCAAAUGGGGAAGCCAUGAGCUACUGACGUGUUACCUGCAGUAAUCCCACUGUAGUAUUGGUUUAACCACACUUGUCGUUUAACCAAGUGGGGAAGCCAUGAGCUACUGACAUGUUACCUGCAGUAAUCCCGAUGUAGUAUUGGUUUAACCACACUUGUCGUAUAACCAAAUGGGGAAGCCAUGAGCUAGACAGAGUCAGCAUUCAUAACAGGCUUAGGAUAAAGGUCAAGUGGGGGGAGGUCGUCCGUGUCCACUAUGUAGUAGGUACCACCAUCGGACGUAAAAGACAGACAAUAUAUGACACAAGAAACAAAAUCCAGCUCAAUGUCUCCAGAUUUAAAUAAGGUAAUCUCCUAGGGAAUAUGUGAAAUCACAUCAAAGUAAAAUUGGUGUACAAUUAGGAUUUCUACUUGUCUGAAAGUAGGAAAUAAAAAUAUUGGAUUAAACAGGACACAAAAACGGCAUUACCACCUGCCACCAAUCAUUGAAUUCAUCCUGACACCAGAUGUUCACCACAAUAAAGGUAAAGAAGCCCAGCAUUACAAGGAAGACUUUUUUAAACGUCACAGAAGAUGGUGAUUUAACAUUCAAAUUUUACAAGGAUGAGAAGAGUAAAUCAGAUGAAGCUAAAUAAAUACCAUGACAAUUUUCUGAAGCUACUCACUUUCAAUGGGCCAUCUCCAACAUUCUGUUUUGCAUUUUACAACUUCGCAUUCUUUACAAAUUAUCCAAAAACCUUUAGCAAUCAAUAGCUACUUGAACACGCUUAUCAGAUCAGCAUACCCAUCACACUUUGUGAAAUUAACUGUUCGGCCUGCAAAAGUUAUAGAUAGUCAGUGAAACAUGUUCAUCCAAGACCAUAUUGCAUGAACACAAACGAAGAGGUAAACAGGUACACCACACUCAGAAGGCUUACCUUCGUGUUACUACCUCCAAAAGUUUUAGUGAAUUUAGGGGGUUUCAAAUGUGAGAAACUUCCAAUAGGAGGCUGCGAGGAAGAAUCAUACAAAUCCAAGCUCAGAGUAAUUGGCAUUGUAGUUGUAUUGUCUUCACUUGCUGCGUGACUCUCUUUGAUCAAGGAAAAACCAAAUAGUCUGCAGCCUCUUCUAUUGUUUGAAACCAAAUUAUCUUGCGCAUCCUCAGACGAUCUCAGUGUCCCACCCUGUACACCAUGACCAUCAGACAGGUCAUAGUUGCCAUAAUCUUUCUUUUCAUGAUUAUUGCUACCAUAAGCAGAGUAUGCAACCUGACUAUUUGCUUGUUGAAACAUUAACACAGAUGAUGGUGAAGAGACUUGCAAAGAUGGAGUUGGCGGUUGCACUCGACCAUCAUAGCAGUUCAUAAUGGAAGAGCAUUCUCCAUCAGGCAUAGAUCUGUGCGGAAUGUUAUAUUUUCCAACACCAUCAUACUGAACUCUAUUAUCAACUACAGCUCUUCCAAAUUGUGGGUUGGAAUACAUUUCUUGACCUUGCAAGACCUUGUGGAAUCCAACAGAUUCUCCACAGCCUGUGCGGUUAUAGGUAAUAUCUGAACUUCCCAUAGCAGUUCUGACACCAUUUCCCAUUGCAGCCAUCCCAGAACUGCUAAAACUAGGAAAGUAACUCGUUUCAGCUCGCUGGUGAUUCAGCAAACCAAUAUCAUUCCAAGGAGUGUUAAACUCCAAAUUUUCUUGACCUUGCAAGACCUUCUGAAAUCUUAAAGAUUCCUCAAAGUCCAAACACCCAGCCCCAUCUGUAAAAGAAAAUAGUGAAUCUGAGUUCAUCGUUUGACACGUACCUGCUAAGGAGAAAGCAAAUUACUCAAAUUUGCAAUGACUUACUGGAAACUGGAAAAUCUGAUCUAGUAAAAGGCAAAUUAAUUCUGUUUCUCUUUGAACCAGAUAACAGGAAACUGCUGGAACCGGAAACUGAAGUAUAAGUUUCAAUUUCCCAUGGUGAAACUCGGUUGUGUCUACCAAAUUCAUCAUCAUCCCACCUAACCUGUAUGAAUGAGCAAGAACAUUUAGAUCGACUCAACAUCAUCAGUAUGAGAUUUUGUGUUGAAAUAUAGCAUGGUAUUCCUUCCAAGAGACUAGAUGUAAUAAACUGAUAAUCAAUACAUACAGAUAUGCAUCUCCAUUUUGAUUUUGGCCAUCUAAGAGGAUCAAUAUCACCAAUUCCAAUUAUCAGUCCUGUGUAUCUGCACAUGUAAAUAAAUAAACGAAUGUUAAUAUCACCGUUAACCUUUUGAAAAAUCUUGCUCUGAUUCAUAAACAAUUUGUCAAACCUUCGCUCAGCUGCAUCUUCAGUUUCAAAUCGUAUCUUAAACCGCAUUCCCAUAGCAAAAGAAUGAUCAAAGCUUUUGGAAAAUUUACGGAGAGGUACUACAAACCCUGAUGGACUUGCCCUGCAAGACAUUUUUCAAGCUCAUAGACCUUGCAAUUUCAAGUAAUACUCAAUCCAGACCAUACGAUAUAGCAAAUUCAUUAAAGGAAUAAACAGCAGAUGUGAUGCAUCAAACAUACUCGUGCAGGACUUUGAUGGUAAGAUGUUAGCAUCAAGAUUUGGAUUUCCGCUUUGUGUUAUGCUCAGUCUAUAUUCAGACAAAAUCUCUGAUACCCAUCUAGCAUCUAACUUUACUGCAUUAUCACUUGACUCUCAUUUUUUAACAAAUAACUCACACAUUUUACAUUGUUGAAGAUCAUAGUAAGUGAAAAUAUUACAUACGAACCUCAUGUCUAGAUGCUAAGAUUCUACCUCACGUCUAGACGUAAGAAUUUUUCAACCAAAUGCUCACCAUCACGGUAUCCAUACACAAUUACAAAUAUCAGAUAUGAGAUAAUCAAAUCAUGAAUCACAACUAUCAAUAUGUCAAAAGUGCUUGUGCAUUUUCAUUAUUUUUAUUUCCGCCCUGUGUAGCUGUGCGUGACAUCAAUGCAAGAGUGUUUUUCCUUUUCCUAUUCAUAUGUUUAGGUUUUAUUCUUCCUUCCCCACCAUUUAGACAAUCCAAUGUGGCCUGGUCCACCAUAAAAAUGCAUAAUUAACAAGGUGUGUGUUUUCUUUUGGCCAGACAAAAAAGAAUAUUAUUAGUGGAACUGUGAUAAAGAUGGUCAUUCGACCCAUGUUACACUUUAAGUCAUCACAUAUGUCCUGUUUUGUAUUUGCCCGGACUUAUACACAGUGAAGUACACAACAUUAAUUCAUCAAAUGACAUCAAAAUGCAUGAGAUGAUGUAUACCCAAUUCGAAUUUUUUUUUAAAAAAAAUCAUAAUAUGAGUUCCAGAAAAACUUCAAACAUGUGAAACUGAAUGGAAGUAGCCAAAAAAAAUUUUGCGAGCAGAAAAUAUAAUAAAUUUUUGAAAACUAAUGUACUCCAAUAUCUGUUGAAAUGUGCCAGAAAUUCCUUAAAUGUUGUUUAGAUAGAAGUACAAGGAGUUUGAUAAAAAAUGAUUCUAGAGAAUGAUUUGAGACUACAAUUUUGGAAGACUAAUCUUCAAAAUGUAAAGGCACAGGAAAUCUUUGAGCCAAAACACCAUAGUUAAAUAAAAGUACCUUGGAGUGUAGUAGAUGUGGAAGACACUUUUCGUAGAUACGGCCUUUGCCACAGCAGUAAGGGAACUAGGCUUCAAGCUCUCACUACAAAGGGCCGAAAAAGGAAUGCCGCCUUUAUAUUGAGGCGCCCUCCGGAUUCCUAAUCUUAGUUCCCCAUCCUCUCCUCUGCCAAAGAUGUAAGUUAUAUAGAUUACCAGUGAAAUAAAUAGAAAGAUUUGCCUGCACGUUCAUAUACCUGAGAAACAGAACGGCAUCUCCAGAUACAAGCUUUUUCCUAUUAACAAAUGCACUCCACCCUGUGGUGAGCAAAUGCCUCCGUGGCUGACCUGCAAGUGAAAGAGACAAUGUUAUGUGAACUAGUGAAUUGCUAAAUGUGGAACACUGGUAUGGAGGUAAGCCAAACCAAAACACUCUAAUGUGAAUUCAUAUUCUCUCAACAUACCCCUAUAGAUGUGCCGAAACUUCCACUCAACACCAUGCAAAUCUUUGGCUACAAGCUCUUGUGAAGGUCUUUGCUGUGUAUAAUCCUAAAUGCAGACCCCAGUAAUCAACAAAUCAAACAUAGUAUAAUGUCUAAUUGAACUUAUAAUAUUAGCAGGAAAACACUUGCAUUAUUACCAGAGGAGGGAAGCAAUCUUCAGCAGCUCGUCGAGGUACAGAAAACCCUCCAUGUGUACUAGUAUCAGAAGCAGUAAGUGUCUUACAAAACAUAUGAGGCGUUAUCGACUUGUUCCCCCCUUCCAUUUCCUCCUCCUCUCCAUCGAUUUCAAUAUCCCCAUCUUUAAAUUUCCUUUGAAUCUAGUUUCAAAAAUCCAUUCAAUCACAAUUCCAUUUCUAAAAAAGUCGAAAUCCUAAUCAAUCAAACAGUUCAAACCAAAAAAAAAAAAAAACCUUUACCUCAGUAUCAGGAACCAAAGAAACCUGUGCAUAAAGUUCAUCAUUUGCCAAUUCAGCCUGCAACAAAUGACCCCCAAAACAUAUAAAUUCAUCAAAAUCUACAAAUUCAACAAAAAAAAAAAAAAAACUAAUGGGGGGAGCAAAAACUUACAUGAAGCUUAACAUCAACAACACGGCAAAACACAUGAGAAGGCAAAUCAUAAAAUUCUGAAAUGGGUAUUUCAGAAAUUUGUUCUAAAUGACCUUGAGGUAAAUAAACAACAACAUUUCCUUUCUUUGGUAAUGAAAUUAAUGGUCCAGCACAAGCAUGCCAUAGCUCUAAACACACUGUAGAAGUAGUAGUAGAUGAAGAAGAAGAACUUGAAGAAGAAGAAGUAAAACUAUCAAGAACACUUAAUCCAUCAUCUUCUUCAUCAACAAUACUAUUAUUCAAAUCAAAAUUUGAUCUAUCCAUUAAAAACACAAGUUAACAAAAACCCAAGACAAGGGUUUAUGAGUUAAGUUCAAGAAAAAAACAAGAACAACCAACAAGUAUAAGUAUAGUAGUUGUAGUUCUUCACUAUAUGACUUUAAAUUGGAAUCUCUUUUUUUUUCAUAAAUAUCAAAAACUUUAAUCAAUCUAACUUAACCCAUGCGCAUUACAGCAUUAUAUAAUCCGUACAAUAUACUACUUUUUUUUUCUCUUUCUUUCUUUCACUUUCUUUACUUUAUAACUCUCUUUGUUGCUUUGGUACAGUGGUGGGGUUGUUGGUGUUUUGGUGGUUUGUUACAGACAAUUGCAGACAUUUGCAGUGUACAGAAGCUAUGAAGUAGUAGACUGGUGGGGUUUGCAGGGUUUUUUUUUUGCAGUAAUCUGCAGAAAAAUAAAUAAAUGUGAAGAGCAAAAGAAGGAUUGAGAUUUGUUUAUUGUUUAUUUUUAUUGAAAAGUUACUAUCUAUAGAAAAGAUUGAAACUUUAAUGUUUAAAGACAAAUUUAAGACUCCCUGUAUUUCCGGGGUCUUUGAUUUCUUGUUCUAGUCCACUAGUUUUUUCUCUGGUCUUUCUGGCUAUAUGCAGAUUUAACCAGAUUUGACUGUGUUAAAAGUUUGCAGUGCAAAAAAUGUGUAAUGUGAAAUGAUUUUGAAUUACAGAUCAAUUGGGGUUAUUCCAAACAUUUGUUAAAAAUACCCACAUAUUUGGCGGAAUAUGCCGGUUUUUAGAGAAUCGGCAUUUCAAAUUCUGAGAAUAUUCAACAUUUCGUGUUGGAAUGUCAAAAUAUACAGUUUAUUUUCUGAAUCAAAAAUUUUGUCCGGAUUCGGAAUUUUAAACUAUGAUUCCAAAAUAACAUCUUCUAAGAGCAAUCCCAAUGGGAGGGCAGUUUGGUGCCCUCCAAAUAGGUGUCACAUAAGCAAAACCACCUUCAAAAUCACUCUCUCUCCAUGGUAGUCAAAACCCCCUGCGAAGUGGUGUCAAUGGAAAAUUUUAGAAAUGUCAGUUUACAAAAAUUAAAUGGGUUAUAAGACAGAACUUUGAGUUCCGGUUACCAAAUUUUGUAACUGUUAUAAGACGGAACUUCGAGUUCCUGAAAAGUUAGUCUAUAAGACGGAACUUCAAGUUCUAUAUAAGAUAUAAAAUGUAUAAGACGGAACUGUGUGUUCCAAAAAAGUGUUAAACCGGAACACGGUGUUUCGUCUUAUGCAAUUAACAUGACAUUUUGGAUGACACUCUACUCCCCUCUCAAAUGCCAUUGGAACUUCUAUCCACCGUUGAAUGUUUGACCCCACCGUUUCAUUGGCGAAGGAAUUUUAGCUGAGAGGGCAUUUCAUACUACCGCUCAAAUGCCCUCCCAUUGGGAUUGCUCUAAUGAAUUGGAAUUUAAACUUGGGGAUAGUGCAUUUAUAGUUUUUCAGAUACAAGUAUAUUCUUGAUACCAUUUGGCAUGAAUGUACAUUCACAACCAUAUUGCAUAGCAAAGAUAGAUUAUUUCUUAUUGUUAUUAGUUUCCACCAAUAUCUCAUCUUUGAUAGUAAAUAAUGAAGUAUGAACCUUAACAUAUCUAUCUAAAGCUCAGAGCAACUUAGAGAAUGAAAACCAUUGCUUAUUUUCUUUCUGUCACUUGUAAUUUUAUUACUAUAGGAGAUGUAGAUUGUCACAAAAAAUACAUCAGUGUUGUUAAAUGAUUCACACAUUGAGCAGUACUAACACUUUCUGUAUCUACAGAUAAUAGUAUAUUUUGAAUCAACUAUGGAAUGAAAACCACAACCAUUUCCUAAUGAGUUUGGAUUCAUUAUGAGAUGAAUUGCAACCAAACAAUCCAUGACCAAUGACCAUGAUACUUAUCAGUAAUACUACAAUCAAUUUGUAGUACUGCUCCACCAUGUGUGAAACAUAAAUUGUUGAUCAUGUGUUAUUCUGUCUGUUUUGUAUUCUUGUCCAUAUAUUCAUCACUAAGUAAAAUAAAAGCAAUUGUUUGAAAGCAUGAAGUUUGGGUAGCUUAAUUGGUGUAUCUGCAGUUGUGGACCAUCUCAAAGAAGUGGUAGUGGUCCAUGAUAUUAGGCUCUAUGGUGCUAAUAGUGAUAAUGUAGUUCAUUAUGCUUAGAUUGGGAUCGCCGGACUGAACCAGAAGUCGGUGUAUGGAGGCACAAGAGUACAUGGUGAUUUCCCGGCGUUCUUUUGGGUGAGAUGAUGACGCUGAACCUGCACCGGGCAAGAUCUAGUACGUAGGUGAAUGGAGGACAAAAUUGGAAACAUUUCUUGAAGUUUAAAUCUGUACAUAGGGGGUGAAUAUGCCUGUCCACCUAGUAUAAAGACACUUAAGUCACAAUCAUAAAAGCAAAUGUCUGUAUCAUCAUAUAGAUGUAAAAAGAAAACUUGAAAUCAAACUUAUAUGGUGUGUUUUGAACUAUGAAGCUUUUGGUUUUUACAAUGUGGACCAAAUGAAACUACCCUAGACAAUUCAAUGCACACAUACACACCUAGUCCAUUACUUUGUUUACCUUCUGACAACAAUCUCUUUUUUUCUGUUCACUUUGCUUCUUUUUCUUGUUUAUUUCUCACCAUUCACCAACCAUAUUAAACACAAUUUCCUUACCUUCAUUCACUUUUUGCCUACUACACAAAAUAUACUUCCUCUUACAUGUACAUGUUGGUGUAAUUAUAUUAGAUCUGUUCUUAGUUUGGCUAGUUUUGGGUCACAUUGAAUUCAAAUGUAUCAGUUUUGAUAUGGUCCUGUAACCAGAACAAGGGUCUGCUUUUCCUGCAUGAAAUUGAUGUUUAACCAAUUUAUUUUGCAAAGUAGGGAAUUUACUUUAAUAAUUAUUGGCACACACUCAUUGUUCUUGUUUUAUAGUUGAUCAUGAAAUGAUUAUUUCAUUAUUUGUAUAUAUUUUUUAUCUGAAUUUUGAGUACUAGACCUAGUUGUCUUCAAUACAAAUCCCCAUCCACCUAUUCCUCAAUCCAGAUCUUUCAUAUUUCUUCCUUUUUCAAAUGUGGCCAUUUUCAUUUUCUCAAACCAAAUGAUUUUAGUCUAAAAUCCUCUCCAAGAAGCCAAAUUAUGAUAUCGGUAACGACUAACACAUAAGAUACUGCUUGUGGUUUGUGUUCAGUUUCCUUCAAUAUUUUUCAAUAUGUAUGGCAAUAGCUACAACGCGCAAUUACAUUGUAAGUUACAUUGAAAACACUUCUAUUUAUACAAGGAAACUCAUGUGAAAAACUUGAGGAAAUAUUUGUAUUAUACUAAGUCUGAUAUAGUCUGGUCUUUCACUUAAGGAUGGGCUUGGAAAAGGCCAUAUUGGUUGAGAUCCAUAUAACUAAUACUUGGGUUGGGCUUUAGUCAGCGAGUUUGGAAAAGGCACUAUUAGUUGAGUUCUAAGGUCUUGGGCUCUUGCUAUUGGACUUGUUUGGAUAUGGGUUUAAUUAGUGUUUAUCAACUUGGGUCGGGCUAGGGUUAGACCUCAAUUGCACUCUGUGCCUAAACUGUUUGAUUGGAGGAAAAAUACUUUUUAACCUAGGAUUCUAAUAUUUUGGGAAGAUUGGAGGAAAAAAAUAAAAAUAAAACAACAACUGGAGUUUAGUUUUAUAAUUUGUAGAUAAACCAAAGAAUUUAGGCUGUGGCCCCAUUUUGUAUGUGGUCAUGAGAGCCCAAUCAAUCACAAUACACCACGUGUAACUAAAGUUUUGUUUAAUUAGCAUUCUCAAUGGUAGGUUUUAAAUUUCUUUUAUAAACUUUUAGUAAAAAAACUCUUGCCAAUAGUGGGUUUUAACAAGCAAAACACUUUUAACUUCUUGGCAAAUUUGCCGAGGAGUUAAAAGUGCUACAUAGGAUCACUUAGUUAAUUUUAUCAUAUUUUAUAUAUCAUGGUUUUAGGGAAAAGUGAAACUUUAGUUUUUAAAACUUAUUUUGAAAUCAACUAUUGGCAAUAGGGUUCUUGGCACAACCAAAAUGGCAUUGCAUUUGGAAAUUUGGCAUGCCUUUUUCGUGGUUCUUAAUAAUUUUAUUUUAAAUAUAUGUGUAUAUAAAAUUUUAUAUUUAGAAGAUAAAAUUUCUAGAAGAUAUAAUUUACCUACCCAAAUUUGAGUAGGAUGUAAAGUACAUGAAGUAAUCCCACUCCAUAUCAAAGUCCAAAACCUUAGACUUUUAGUACAAUUGAUGAAAUUAUCCAAGAAUGUAGUUGAUUAACAAUUCGUGCAAUUGAUGUACAAGGUACUUUUAAACUUAAACUUUGAAUAAACAUGCAUUUUUUUUCGUAAUUGAAUAUCUUCUAAUGAAAUUCUAAAAAAAAAAUUAAUAUAUUCUAUUAUUGUUAAUUUAGUGUGAUUAUAUUUAAACAAAAUUAUAUAGUGCAAUCAAACUUUGUAUGUAUGGUACACAAGAAAAAUAUGCCCUGUAUGCAAGGGGGAAGCUAAACGGCAUGCCAUUUAGCUUUGGCAUGCCAAAAAAAUAGUCCAUGCCAGGACCCCUAAUUGGUAAGUCUAAAAGUAUAAAUCACUUUUAACAUUUACUAUAUGCUAAAACUUUCUCCCUCUUUCCUACAUGGCACCCCUAAAAUCCUUUUACCAUUGGGAAUCCUCGAUCUUACUAAAGUAUCACCUAUAUAUGGGUGUAGUAAACCCUAGUGGGCUUAAAUUGAUAACUUAAAUAACACGUGACAUUCUAUGAGUGGCUCCUCAUGGCCACAUAGAAAUUGGGGCCACGACCUAAAUUUUUUGGUAAAUAAGCAUAUUGAAAAUCUCAUUUAUUGAUUUUGAAAGUUUUUCGAUAACAUUUGUAUUUAUGGAUAAUUGGAGGUAAGUAGAUUGGUUUUUUACAAUAAGGUUCUCGAGCCUCAAAUCCAACUCCAUUCAACAUCCUCCAAUUUUUCAAUCAUGCGACUAAUUUUUACAAGAAGGAAUAACCACAUUGUACAAAUACUCAUGAAGUGAUGAAACUGAUAAAUUGGGUAUCUUGUACAAGUACAAGAAAGCUCAUAUGAAAAUAGAGGGUAUCUAACUUAUACAAAGUACAAGAAGAACAAACUGCAAAACAGUAAAGUAAAGGUCUUGUUCAUUUGCACCUAAAUUUAAAAAGCUUCUUACCAGAAUGUGGUGUGCGUUAGAAGAUCCACCAAUAAAUGUCGCUUCAGUGUUUGGUUUUUGCCUUUUGUCUUUUCUUGUGACUCGGAGGGAUGGCAAUUGAGCCCAACCCGUGGGUUCCCAACCCAAUCCGACUCUAAUGGGAUGGGUUGGGAUGCAAAAAAUGGGAUUAGGGUCGGGUUUGGGAUUCAAAAUUAGAACCCAGUCGGGUUAUAGGUGGGAUGUGGGAUUACGUCAUCCCAACCUGAACCCGCCCAUAUAUAUUGCCUAAACCCUAAAAAGAGUUAGUAUUUUUUAUGAAGUUGGAUUAGUAGUUUUGGAAUGGAUUAUUACUCAUUUGCAUAAGACCUCAAAUUUAAUUAGCUAUGAUUUUGAUUUGAUUAUAUUGGUUUUUGUUGUGCUGGUAAUUUAAUUUUAAUUUUAAAAGUGUAAAACUAAUUCAAUAAUAAAAUUAUUAAUAGAUUUGUAAAAGGCCCGACCCGUCUCAACCCAAUAAAUGGGAUGUGACAGGUCGGGAUGGGAUUAGGUAUUAUUUUAAGGGGUGGGUUUGGGAUUUGAUAUUAGAACCCGGGAUGGGUUCUCAAUGGGAUUGGGAUUAAAAACUACUAAAUAGGAUGGUAGUGGGAUUAGUGAAACCCAUCCCGAAUCCGACCAUUGUCGUUCGCUUCUCAAAUUCAUCAACUCAUCCCACUUUGUUGAAUCAUACAAUAUCCUAUAGCAAUGCUUAAACUUAAAUGGUUCACUCCGUACUCCUAGGUACAUUGAAUGGGCAUUUGUUAAAAAAGGUUUUUAGACUUUGGGACGCCUAAAUAAUGUCUAUUAAGAAAAUGAGACGUUUUUAAUUGAUAUUUAGAAUUUGGGGCAUUUUAUGUGAGUUGACUGCGUUGGUUGUUGCUUGCUUGUUAAUUUUUUUUAAAAUUACAAUAUUACCCCUCCACAUGCAUCAAUACAAUACAAGUGUUUUCACUUUAUUUUGAAGUAAGAUCUUGAAAUUAUUCAAGAAGAAAAGAUGGAUGACAAAUUUUAUGAACCCCCUUUGGUACUGUUAUUAUGGGUAUACUCAUAUUCAGCCUCGUUGUGUGAUACAAAUUGCUAGGUAAAGAUACUAUUGAAUGCGGAAUUAAACAAUAACAGUAAAUAAGAUGAACAAAACACAAGAUCUCGAAGAAAACUAUCUUCUUUAAUAAGUAUUAUGAAGAUUACAAGAAUCUCUAUCUCAUAAUACUCUCUAGACAAACUAAACCCUAGUUGUCUCAAUAUUUCUAAACACACUAAACUUUAGUGGUUUCUCUAAACAACUAAAUAAGUUGUUUCUCUAAACAAGCUAAAAUAAGCUAUGUUUUGGGUUAUUCCAAAACAUCACUAAACCACUAAACCUUAGUGGUUUCUCUUGAAACAAUUAAAGACUACAUGUUUCUCUCUAUAUCCUUUGGUUUAUGCCAAAACAUAUAUUUAUAGGCCAAGGAUUUCCCUUUUCUGGAAAUUUUAUCCCUUAUAGAACAAGGAAACCUAUUUAAGGUUUUCUUUUCCUUGUCCUACAAGGAAAAAAACUGCUAUAUUUCCAAGUAGGAUACACCUGUAUCAUUGUGAUACAAUACAAUGUAGAGGCGGCAAAAAGCAAAAAAGCUGUUGCAGGAGCAUCCCAGCAAGACAUUGCUAUUACAUCUGUCUUUUCCAAUAUACCAUAUAUGAACAAAUGUACAUUAUUUUGUCCAAGUAUAAUUAUUGAUGGGACUAAAAUCUGCCCUCCGAAUUACCCUGAAAAAAGCCCUCUCGAAAACUCUGGUAAAAUAAAAGCUCACUAUUUCUAUUAUGCUUCUUAUACUUGUUACAAGAGAUAUCAUUUUAGAGAUUUUUGGACAUACCCCAUUUGAAAGUCGAAAUUUGAGAUACCCCCAUUUGAAUUUUUUUUUUUAGAUAUCCCCCAUUUCAAGAUGUGGACCAAAUGAAUUACCGCAGAUAUGGACCAAAUGUAUUCUUCCCUGUUAACUUUUAAGAGAUAUCUUAGUGUUCUUGGUUUCUACCAACAUCUCAUCUUUAAUUGUAAUCAAGUUUAAACUUAAACAUAUAUAUCUAAAGAUUAGAGCAAAGUACUACCAAUAUCUCAUCUUUGAUUGUAAUCAAGUUUAAACUUUAACAUAGAUAUCUAAAGCUUAGAGCAACUUAGAGAGUGAAGUACAUAGAGCUUGUUUUCUUUUAUUACUACAGAAAAUGUAUAUUAUCACACAAAAUGCUCUAGUGUUGAGUGAAAAUGAUAGAUACAUGAAGACCAAAAUGAUUUACACAUUUGAGGAUUAAGUUGCAAAGUUUGCUCAAUAGUUUCUAUGAAAAAAAAUAAGGGGUGAGAUUUAUUAUUUUCUUUACUUUUGUGAUUCAGACAACGACCAUAUAUCUAACACAAUUUGUAUGUACAGAUAGUAUAUUCACUACAACAUAAUUGCUUAUUUGCAACAUUUUAUUUUGUAACGCUCAGCUAAUGUUGGUAAUAGUCAAUUUUUGCAACGUUUCUAACCGUUACAAUUUAUUAAAUCUUCAUUUUCUUCCCCUUGAUCAACUACUUUAGCAACGCUUUCAAACGUUGCAAAUUAAUAUAUCCAUUUAUUAUUAUGAAAAAAACUGUAAUUUUAAAACAAAAAAUAACAUUUGCAACAUUUAUAACAUUGCAAAUAAGAAAUACAUAUUUGCAACGCCUAUUAAUAUGGCAACAAUAUAUUUUUUUUAUAAAUAAUUUAUUAUUUGUUAUUAUUAUUUAUUAGCAACGUGGUUUCUCGUUGCUAUUACUUAAUCAUUAGCAACGUUAGUACUGUUGCAAUUGAGCAACGUUCUAAACGUUGCAACUGAAAUUUUAAUAAACAAUUAUUUUUAAUAACAAUAAAAUGUAGUAGCCACUUGUUUCAUUGUUGCAAUUGCUUGUAGCAUUUGCAACGUUUAAUGUCGUUGCAAUUGAGUAGGAAUUAUUAAUGACGUCCAAAACGUCACAAUAACCAAAAUAGUAAUAGGAACUUAAAGUAAUGUUGCAAUAACCUAAGUAGUAGUAACGUUAUACAAGUGUCACAAUUAUUUGACGUAGUAGCCACAGUUACAUGCGUUGCGAACGACGAAUUAUAUUAGCAACGAUUAAAACCGUUGCAAUAACCUAAGUAGUAGCAACGUUAUAGAUAGAGGCGCCUAUAAAAAAAAUACUCCGUAGGCUUCGGGAUCGAGGUAUCAUUAGCCGAAGUUCAAGUGUUGCAAUUGUUUGGCGUAGUAGAAACGGUUGCAUGUCGCAGCGAAAGACAAAUUUUAUUAGCAACAGUUAAAACUGUUGUAAUAACUAGAAAUAAAAGAAAAAGGAACUCCUUGACUAAAAGGCCAUAAAAAUGAGCUUGGGCCAUGGUUGAUCAGGCAAAGAAGAUGAUCCUGCCUGGAUAAAUAUGAUCCUGCCUCACAUUAGACCUUUUGGCUCGAGCAAAAGUGAUGCCCAACACAUUUGUUAUGUACAGUAUGCCAUAAAAAUGAAUUUGGCCCAUGGUUGCUGAGGUAAAAAAACUCAUUCGAGAUGUUUGUGUCGUCGCCCAGUAAAAACUGCUCACAACCCUUAUAAAUAUGAGCUGGCCUGACAUUGGUCAUUUUCGCUCGAGAAAAAAGUUAUGCCAAACUCAUACGAUAGGCUAUAAAAUGAGUUUCGGCUAUUGUUACUCAAGCAAAAAACCUCGUUCGACAUGUUUUUGAGUUUUCGUGUAGCAAAAACUGCUUACCGCGCUAGAGAAUAUGAGCUUGCCCGAACAUUGGGCAUGUUGGCUGGAGCAAAAGUGAAGCUAAGCACAUUUAACUUCAAAAUGAUAUUUAAUUUGACUAAUUUGUAAUAAGAUUUUACAUGCUUAUAAUCAGUUAACUUAAUUUAACUUGUUACUGAAAAGAAUAGGAUUAUACUUGUUUGCCUUCUAAUUAUAAUUGGUUGAAGCAACGUGCACAAGGGCUAAAGCUAUACAAUGGGCUUGGAUGACCAUUCAAAAGAAUUUUUUUUUUUUAAAAACGGAACAAUCAUUGGGUUGGUAUGUAAAUAGUAAAGUUGAUCGAUUUAGUGUGACAACUUGUAAUUAGUUUGACUAAAUUAAUUAAUUAUUUUUUAUUGGUUUAUAAUUAGAUGGGUUUCUAAUUAGGAUAAAAAAAAAAUACAACGGCAAAGUAGGGUUGGAAAUGGGUAGGGUUUAUACAAAUAACCCUAAUCCGAACCCAAAUCAGGUGUAAAUACUGAAUCUAUACUCUCUUUUAAAGUUAGACUUGCCGUUAAGGAAAAAUUUUCUUUCCAAAUUAGAUCAAAUUUGAUGCUUCAAUUGAAGAAAAUUUAACAAAGAUUGAAAGUUAAAAGGUUAUUAUUGUAAAUUUAUAUCUAAUAUGGCUUAAAUAGUUAGAUGGGUACAUUUAAUAGCACUAGGGGCAUAUCUAUCUUAAUCUACAAAUAUAUUAAUGGCUAGCCAAUAAAUUUAUACAAUAUAGCUAUAUUUAUCUUAUUAGCCAAAAAAUAAAAAUUAAAUAAAUAAAUAAAAUAUAAUUUCGUACUUUACCUUCUUCUUUCCUCAAUAUUUACCUAUGUUCCUCAUACAUCAAAUUCAAUCUAUCCUCUAUUCCUUCUCUGAAUAAUGGUUGGAACACACACACACACACACACACACACAGGGUCUUCUAUUUUCCUUUUAGUACAAGUUAGAAAUAAAAUUAUAUAUAACAUGAUUAUGUUGAGUAAUUAUAGCGUGAUUUUUGAGAUUAGUUUAAUAUUAUUUAUCAAUUAUACUAAAAAAAUUAUUUGAAAAAUUGGCCUUCGGUUAGGGCUGGAAACGGGUCGGAUUCAGAUCAGAUGUAAAUAAAUCCAAAGUUGGAUCCGAAUUCGACUCAGGUUUAAAUAAUUAAUCCGAAUCCGAGAUUUAUCCGAAAACCCGACUAAAUUCGAAAAUUUCCAAUAUAAAAUCUUUAAAAAACAAAUUAAAAUAUGAAUCCGGAUCUAAAUAGGUCUCUUAUUAUAAAUCCGAAUCCAAAUUUUAAUUCAGAUGUAUUCUUAAAUCUGAAUCCGACAUAUUCAGAUUUGGUUAAUUCGGAUAAAUCCGCAUGACCGCAUCCACUUUCCAGCCCUACCUUCGGCCAAAGGUUACCCCAGGAUAUAAAUUCAAAAGUGUUUUCUUAAAUGAUGUAUAGUCAUAACCAAAGCUAAACCUAAUAACUUGACAAUGAAGUGAUUUUUUUUUUCUAAAACAAAUUUUAUUGAUAUUUUUUUUUUGUUAAAGGAGAAUUAUUUUAUUGAUAAGCUCAAAGAAUGACACAAAAGUAGAGGACAAACGUGCUACAAAUCCUUUCUUUGGGGAUUACGGAACAUUAGGGAUACACCUAAAUAUAAAUUUUGAGAUUUUUUUCCUGAUUUUUUUUUGUGAAAGUAGGGACUGGGAGAAUCAGAAGAUAUAGGUCCCACCAUUUUUUUUUUUUUUUUUUUUUACUAAAACUAAAAAACGAAGUCCAACAAUUUUUUUUGAUUAGCCAGCAGGUGGGCUUUCAUUGUAGCUUACUACAUGCCUCUUUAUACCAAGUAAAGAUUUAUGUAGAUGAAAUACUUAUUAUAGCAAAUCAAUACAUAGAUUUGUUGAUAAGCAUGUGGCUCAAAGGUAGCAUCCCUCUCACAAAGUGGAGAUGUUGUGGGUUCGAAAUACGUCAAUAGCUGAUUGUUUGAUUAAAAGUUUUCCCACGUAAAUUUAAAAGGGGGUAGGGUUCCCCUCAACCUCGCUUACAUAAUAAUAAGAAGAAAAAAAAAUUACGUUACGUACUAUAAUAAAUUUCAAUAAGUACAUAUAUUUUGCAAUCCAAAAUUUUAUCCUAUGCUUCAACUUGAUCUUUUAGUAGUUUUGUUUGGUACAUUAAUUAUGAAAGGUUAUUUUACUACUGCAAGUUAUUAUAUACUAUGUUUUUGCCAAACCCCUUUUUAUAUUCAAAACAUAAUCCUAGACUCCAAACAAAAAAUGAAUAAAAUCAUAUGAUUAGUCUCAUUCAUGGUUUGAACAUUCAUAAGAUUAAUCAUACCAUGGUUUAUUGUUACAAUAAAGUAAAAACAUAAUAAAAAAUUCAAUAAUUGCUAUACGCAUUAUAUUUAGCUCAAAAUCUUAGUCAAACAUUCAAACAACGAGUAUUUGACGAAAAACCAUUUCAAAAAUUGUAAUCAACCAUAUUUACGAAAAUAAAAAUAAAAAUUAGUGUUGUAAUAAAAUUAUAAAAAUGACAAUUAAACCAAUGACAUACAUUAACAAAACCAUUCCAAGAGACUACACUUAAUUUAGACUAUUUAAUAAUAUCCAUGCAUCGCACGGGCCUUAUAACUAGUAAGAACUCAAUAGUUUCGCCGAAUAGAUGAUCAUAUAAACCAAAAUCCGAAUGGUACACUUUACAAAACUAAACCUGAACCUGUUUUUAAUUCGAAUGUGAUUUUAAAUCAAAUAUCACACAUUCGGGUUUUGGUUUAGUCGGGUUUCGGUAAACCAUACCUUUUUCCAGCCAUUUUGCAAUCAAUAAGAAAUACUCUUGCAUUAGGAGCCAAACAACAAAAAUAGCAAGCGCCAAACACAAAAAUUUCUCUUUUUUGUAAAUUGUCCCUCUCUCUUCCCUAGAUUAUUCUUAGUGCAAACAAAACCAAAACUUAUAAGAGAUUUAAAAGAAAAAAAAAAAAAAAAAACUGCUGGGAACAACAUCUACAGGUUCAUCUUUUUUUGGGAGAUCUUAUUGCCAUCCAAGAGAUUUGUCAAAAAGAUAAUCAGACCAAAUUGCUUUGGAAAACCCAAUAAGACAAUUAUUUCUUUAUGAAAAUGCCCUUUCACACCCAAUUUGUUAAAAAUCCAAAAUUAAUAAAACUUUUUUUUUUUUAAACUGAUUUCUCUCCCAGUAAAUCAAAUAAAAAAAAAAAAAAAAGUAAGAGAAACCCAAUCCAUUAUAGCAAUUCUCUUCCAUUUGUGUUUUCAUCUUUUCUUAAAUCUUAUUCAUAUUUUUGUGUUUAAUAAUAUAGAUUUUUUUUUCAAAAUUUUGGAAUUUUUUUCUUCUCUCUUUGAUUUUGUAUCAUCCAAAGAUGGAGAUUAUUAAAAUAUAACCCAAGAUUGAUUAAUUAAAAGGGUGAGGAGAAUACAAAUCGUUUUCCACAAAUAUUAGGCUUUGUUUGGUAGUUACAAAGAGUUCAAACUUGUGUAGAGUUAUGGGUAAUUCACAUACAUUCAGUUUUGAUUUUUAAUUGGAUUUUGAUAAAUAAUACUAGGUGUUUUACAUUAUUGCUAAAUAAACAAAAAAACACUCAUCUUUUGCUCAAUUGUAACCCCCUUUUCCCCCCUGGACUUGUGUUUAAGAGAAGAUUCAUUGAAGUUUUAAGUUUUGGAGAUAGAGAAAGAGACGCCUUGGAAAAUGGCUUUUCUCAUCAAAAUUGUUCUCUUCUCGCUUCUUGCCAAACCUUUGAUAAGGUAUUUUUUUAGCUACUGAAUUUCCUUUGUCUAUGACAAAUUUUGUUUUUAUUGAAUGGGUUGUGAAUAAUUUUAAUGCUAAUUAGUUGUGCUUCUGAUCUAAUGAAAUGAAUUAAAUCUUGGGUGAUUUAGGUUUUGGUCACCAAAUGUUUAUACUAAUUAGGGUUCGAAGCUGGUUUUCUUUUUGAUUGAGUUUUAGCCAUCAACCGUAAAUUAAACCAUACAACAUUCCAUAAUGGCCAAAAUACCCUUAUUAGAAAUUACACGUGAUUUGCACAAGAUUAAAAUUUUAAGAUCUAAUAGAGACACCAUUGCACACAAAUUUUGAGGCAAAUUUGGUGGCAUAACACCCACAUUGGAGACCUCUAGCCAAUCCCAUACAGUCAGCUUAAUCUAUUUAAUUAGUCUCCUAAGAGCAUUCCCAAUGGUAGGUUUUAGCACAUUUUUAGUAAACUUUUAGUGAAACCACUUGCCAAUGGUAGCUUUUAACACAUUUUUCAAGCAAAACACUUUUAACUCCUUGACAAAUUUGUCAAGGAGUUAAAAGAGUUUUAGAGGUGCCACAUAAGAUUACUUAAUAAUUAAAAAUUAUAUUGCAUUAAAUGAUUGUCACAUUUUUGUUAUUUUUAUCUUUCAUUCAAAAACAACCACUGGCAACUCUAAAAAUAAAAAACACUUUUAGUAUAGUUUAAUCCUAAAACCUUUACCCUCUCUCUUACGUGGCACCUCUAAAACCAUUUUACCAUGGAGAAUGCUCUAAUGUCCACUUCAUCCCCCUGAAGAAAAUGUUGUUUCUUUCUCUCCAUGAGCACCAAACAGUUGCAUAAGAGGAAGAAUAUGCUAGAUUGCAGUCCCCAAUCUGUUGCUAUUUAACUUUGGCCACCUUUCAAACAAAUCUUUCAUGUCAAUCUGAAAUUAACCUAUAAACUUGUUAAAAUUAAACCAGGAAUUUACCACAAAUCAUAGAAGUAAUGUUGAUCUACAUCACAUUCCCAUGAAAACAAGCUUAACCAUCAAUUUCAACAUUUGAAAUUGAGAACUUUGAAUUGCUUAAACAAAAUAAUUCAAAAGGGAAAAAUGAAAAUUCAACCUCACAACUUGGAAACAAGCUAGAUUUAUAUCAAAUUCGCACUAAAAUAAAUAGAAAUAACAUCUUGAAAAAAUAGCUUUCAAGAAAAAAAAAACCCUUGAAACAUGGUGGAAUUAUAUUUAGAUUGAAACAAAAAGAAAGGAGAAGAAGCAAAAAUUAUUUUGAAGUUUGAUCUGAAAAGAAGAACCAGAAUCGGUAGUUCUGAAAGAAGCCUUAUCAUUUAGUCGUGCUCAAGGAAGCGAUAAAUCCAAAUUUCUUCUAGCACAAUUACAGAAAGUUGAAGGAAAAGAAUUUAUUUUUCUUCCUCACAAUCCUGGGUAAGCAAUUUGUUUGUUUAUAUAUUGAGGUUCUGUAUUUGUUACCUAUAUGAAACUUUGAUACAUAUUCAGGUGAAAUGACACAAUACAAAUAUUCUGAUGUAGAAAUUAUUGGGUUUUGAUUGCGAUUGUCUUAAAGCAUAUGGAUAUCUAUUAUUUGGAUUCAUUACACUAGGAGCCUACAGAAGACUUUAAGAUAUUUAUCAACAAUGGCCUAAUCCUAUACAAAAGGUUGCAAGGUCUCCGGAAUGCAGCAAAUCACAUGGGAAUCCAUUAAGGUAAACCCAUUAGAAAUAGAUAUAUUUUUGAAUCAGUUUUAAUAUUGCGCGGAAACUUAUUUGCUAUAUAAUUUUGUAAACUGAGAACCCAAUAUGUGUGCAAUAUAACAAUAGUAAAACAAACAAUAAUAAAACAAUAAAGAAGUAAAGAACACACAAUAUUUUUAACGUGGUAAAACCCAAUUUGGGAAACGUCCACGGUUGCCCUGAUGACAACAAACAAUCCACUAGAUGAAAGAAGAUUUACAAACCUAUCAACUACCUGCACUCACUGCGAGUUGAUACUUCAGGUUAUCUCUAACACCUUGACUUCACCGGAGCACCUUGAUGUACGCACAAGACACUGGACUUCUUGAUGAACACACAAGAAGACUCGAAGCCGAUCUAUGUAACAAGCUUACACCAGAGUUCCUUGAUGAACACACAAGAAUACUCGACUUCUUGAUGAACACACAAGAAGACUCGAAGCUAAAUCACUAUUCAACAAUGAAGAAGAAGAUGAAUAGGGAAGAAAGGAAGAAGAAGAUGAAUGGGGAAGAAGAAGAUGAGUUCAAUCACUAAAACAACCUAAACCAAAACCUAAACAAACUCCAAGACUAGAGAUGAAUUGGACGGCCAAAGAAUUAACUUGUUCAUUGGAGAAGUAAACCUAUUUAUACCUAGGGUUGGAAUACACAGGAAAUGGGCCGGAAUUGCUAAAAUCCACAUUGGACGUACGUACGUCGAAACAACGUUCGUACGUCUCCACACUGUAAAAGUUCGCUGCCUUCUUGGACGUACGAACGCCCUAACUAGGUACGUACGUCCUGACCAAAACAUGUUUGCUGCCUAACAUGACGUACGUACGCCCUAACUAGGUACGUACGUCCUAAACCCAAAACUUACUUUUGACACAAGGACGCGAGGACACAGACUCGGGACGAUGUGCGUACAACUUGGUUUUCCUAACAAUGAACUCAAGGCGAGAUAACCAUGGACAUCCAAUGUCACAAAAUUGAUGUCAAACAAACUUCGUGCCGGUUUCAAUCUCCCCCUUUGACAUUGAUUUUGUGACAAAAACCUAUGACUCUAAUAGCACUUAUAAAACGUGCUUACAAACCCAAACCAUGGCAUUUAUAAAACAUGCCUACAAAAACACUCAUAGUAGAAUACAUACCGAGUCACUAACACAUGAUAUCCAGCUUGAGUAAUACGCUUUAACCAUUAGAGACCGAACGGAAGCAACAAGAAAUUCUGAAACAAUCAAAGAGCCAACAGAAAUUCCUCGAGCAACUCCCCCAUACUUCAUGAGCUCCAAAGUUUGACACUCGAGCUCCCCCAUAACUGUAGCAUACUUGAAACAUGACCCAAAACUGUACAACCUCUAAACAUCAACACGUUCACUCCCCCAUACUUGUAGCAUACCUGCAACAUGACCCAAGAUGAAAUCGGCAACGUACAAUAAUGACCAAGAACCAAAUAGUCAAACUAGACACAUCCAACAAUAUCCCAUGACAAAACUACAGGAAUAUGAGUAUCUGCAGGAAGAGAUAUGUAAAGGAUAAGAAAAUCCAUUGAGAAUCCAUGGGGAAAUCCAAUCUGUACAUGUUCAAGAAUCCGAAGGAAUGGCGCCUCUACUCCUUUGAGCACGAGGAGGACGUGUGCCUGAUGACGAAGCACCCUUGGAACCGGGUGUUUCCUUAGUCGGAGUAGUGCGAGCGCGCUUAGGAGGCAUAUCCUGCAUAAGCACAACAGUAACCAAUACUAGCAAAUGUAAGAGAAAUGGUGAAACGAGCACAAGAAAUGUGAGAAUACCCAUGUAGACAUUUUAUCGAACACUUGGUGUGCAUAAACCAAAGGCAAGAUUAAAACAACAAACAAUAAGUACAUUCACACUACGCAAGACAUAUGAUUAAGAGAAGAAGAUGAACAGCAUGGUAAACAAAAACUAUACCAAAAACACAAAAGAUUCAAACUUUAAACAUCACAUUCCAUUUCUCCACAUUCAACCAUUCACAACAUUUAAACGAAAGACGAAGAGGAAAAUUUCACCAUCAAAGAUAACCAUUAAAGACAAUGCAUCGGAGCACAAGAAGAACUUACUAUUGACUAGAGAUAAGAAGAAAAACACCACCGAACUCUGUUGAACACUUAGAACACAGCAGAGAGGGACCGAAGGAAAUACCGAGGAUGAAGAAGAUACAAGAGAGAGAUAUGUGAGGAAGACGAAGAGGAAAAGAUUGGCAAAAACUUUUAAACACUUUGGGCUUAAACCUAACUGGUGGGCCAAAAUUGUACCAGAGACGUACGUACGUUAUAUUGACGUUCGUAUGGCGAGCCCAAAAGAGAAACAUCUGCCUGGUCCAACGUACGAACCCCCUAACUACGUUCGUACGUUCGAGGAGAAAAAAAAGUUCUGCCUCCCUUAACGUACGAACGUCCUAACGACGUACGUACUUAAUUACAUUUAACAAAAAAAAAAAAAAAAAAAAAAUAACAAUAGAGGACUAACCUUAAUAACAGAAAAACAGACCGAAUAACUAACAACACAAACCAUAAUAAGAAGAUAAAAGGAAAAGAACCGAUGUACCAUAGAAGUGAAGAGGAAUACAUCAUGACCUUCCAAAAACAGUAGCCAAUCCCAAUCCGUACAAAAAUAAGAGGCAAUAUAUGAGGGUAAACAAAAGAUUGAACAAAUAAGAGAAUUGAAGUGCAUCAUAAACUAAACCUCAGUGUGUGUAGAUGCAAUGCAAUGCAUAAAGAGAGAGAAAGUUCACCACUAGAACACACCCUUUGAAGACCUAGAAUAUAAAACCAUCAACAAGAGACAUACGAUUAGAUUAGUAAGUGAGCAUAGAAGAAACAAACUUCAACCCCCUUUGAAACAAACGUUAUGAGUAGAAGGCAAACGAAUAUAAAUAUGAACUUUCAAAUGAAAACCAAGACAUCCAAAAGGCAAAGGAAUAUAAACUUUGUAUGCCUUAAAAAACAAUGAAUAUGCGCUUGGAUUGUUAUUUUGCCGCAUGUGGUGGAGUUUAGUCUACAUCACUCUAAUGUCAUUCCCGUGUGGGAGGGAUUUUUGCCUCCAUCUUUUCAAAUACACGAGGGUAGCGUGUAGCCUACAUCUUUUUGACAAACACAAACUCAAGAAGUGCAAUACCAUGAUAACGUGCAACACAAGAACUAACAUCUCUUGAGUGCAUCCGUCAGAGCAUGACCCUCACAACCCCAACGGGUUCUUAGCCAACUGAUAUUGCUUCAAAGACAAUCAAAUGGCUGGGGAUAAAGUGAGUCAUUGACCACUAACAAGAGUUGUAAUAGGAAGAUAAGAAUGUUCAAUAACACUAACAACAAGAUGAACAUUAACCAAAACAAAGGAGAGAUAGCUCAAGAUCACAUAAAUACUCGAGAGAUAGAGAAGUUCUAUGAGCUCAAAGAAUAUGUAAGUGGUUUCCAAAAAAACUCCCAUUAUGCAAGCAUGUCGUGCACUGUGCAAACAAGCGAGGAAAAAUGCAUGAUACAUACCAAAACAUACUUAAGAGUUCAGAAAGAGAAAACAACCAAACAUAUUGCAACUUAUUUAAGACAAUUGAAUUAAACCAAUAUCUUAGAAAAGAUGCAACCAACAACACAUACAUGGAAUAAAUAAAGAAAAAACAAAAAAAUAGAAGGAAAAACAUUUACUGUACAGGCAUAAAAUAAUGUGUUAAUCAUGUGUAAGAGACAUCCUACACAACAUAUACUGUACAGGCCAAAGCGUACGAUCUCAUCUGGAGUGUUGUUUUUAUUUUCAGCCAUUGUCAUGUGACAACUAUGUUAGACUCUGUUGCUGGUAGUUAAGUUUCUUUCAUUUUGUGCUUGAAUUGUAUAUGUAACGCUCCGGAAUUUUGUCCUCGCUCAUCCCGGUGCGUCGAGCACCAUACCGCUCAUUAAUAUCAAUGUUAUCCCCCUUUAGUCACUGCGGAUAUCCAGCAGUAGAAGGUUUUGGAUCAGGGUCCACCCAUCUGGUUUACCCCCAAAGACCUUGACAUUAGUUAGAGUAUGGUUAAGUUUUAUAUAGUACCAAUACAACCAUUACUGAGUUGGUGGAAGAACUUUGAACAAAUUGAAAUUGUCUUAAAAGCAGCUCAUGGGCCUCAUGACCACACAAUUCAACAACAAUUAAGGUUGAUUACGGUUAAGUGUUAAAAUUAUCUAGUAUUUAAUUCAUUAUUAGAACAUCAAAAAAAUUUAUCUAGUCGUAAUUAUACGGUGUGGGGUUUGUAGGACCAAUAAAAAAUUACCAUUUGUCUAUAAAAUAGCCAAAAAUAUUUUUUAAAAUUCUACUAGGGUUAACAUCACCCAUACAUGACGGUGUUUUAUUGAUCCCACAGAUCCCACACAUCUAUUUUCAUCCCUCUCCACAAUAAAAUGGUUGGGCCAAAUGUACAUAAAACUAGCACCAAAAUCAAAAUACAUUUUGGACUUCUAUUUGGGUUUGUGUUUACGGCCUUUGGACUUCGGUUGGGCCUGGGUUAAAACCUCUAAUGUAAACUUGUAUGUAUAUGUAUAUGGCAGUAGAGACAUUUGUACAACACACAAUAACACACAAAGUAAUUGCAUGUUUUAAUUAUGUGUGUAUUUUAAGAUAACAUGAUUGCAUGAGAUUUUUGAAGAUAAGAUUGAUUUGGCUGCAUAUAGAUUAUCGAUAUACCUUUAGGUGGUAGGUGAAGUUUGAGGUGGGCAGUAACUGAAGCCUGAGAUUAGGGAUGGUAGGUGAAGCUUGAGGUGGGAAGUGAAGAAUACAUUAUCCAACUGACAACUAUUUAAGUAACACUACAUGUAACUCUAGUUUCAUCAGCAGUAUUCCUCAAUACAAGUGUUCCCUCAGUCUUUUUUGUAAUAAGAUCUUUGAACUAAUCAAAGAAGAUGGAAGGCAAAGGUGUAAGAACCCCCUUUGGUACUGUGAUUAUGGGUGUACUCAUACUGACCCUACUUGUGGCACAAACCCAAGUAGAGGCUAAGAGCUGCUGCCCAUCCACCACAGCAAGAAAUAUCUAUAAUACUUGCCGUUUCACGGGCGGCUCCAGGCCAACGUGUGCGUCACUCUCUGGAUGUAAAAUUGUUAAUGGGAAGUGCCCCGCGGGUUUUGAUAAAAGCAUUCUCGAAAACUCUGGUAAAAUGAAAACUCACUAUUUCUAUUGUGCUUCUUUAAUUUACUUGUUACUGGAGAUUUCAUUUAAAUGCAAGUUGUGUACUUUUGACUCAAGGUGAUGCAAUUAACGAAUACUGCAAGUUGGGGUGUGCAUCUUCCGUGUGUAAUGCCGCCAUAAUCACUCUCCAGAACUCUGGUAAAGCGAACUCAUUACUUCUAUUUUGCUUCUCUUAUUUGUUACAAACAAGGGAUUCCAUUUUAACGCAUCUUGUUUUGGGGACUAGUUGCAGGUGAAGAAUCUGUGAAAGAAGUGGUUGAAAAAUGUAACAAUGCAUGUUCUGAGUUCUGCACCAAGGGUUCCAAUAUUGCAUUUGAAACCUCUUAAAGCAAGCAUAUGCAUGCAGAUAACACAGUCCAAGCGAAGGCGUGCUCUGGAGUGUUGUUCUAUCUAUUUUAAAUAAUCGUUGCAUGUGACAAGUAUUUAAGUUGUUUUUGUUUUGUGCAUGUGUCGUAAGUAGAGGGGUUGUCAUUGUAUAUCCCUUCUACGUACUAGUUUGCCAUUAUCUAAAUAAAGAUCGAGUAUGUACCAUGUGUUUUUAUUAAUCUUCUUCUAUCUUCUCUGCUUCAAUAUUUUCUAUUUCAUUUAUAUCCCACACGUUGAGAAACUGCUUCAAUAUUUUCUAUUUCAUUUAUAUCCCACACGUUGAGAAAAACUCUGCUUCUCAGCGCUUCGAACGAAACAGUUAAGGCUGACUAUGAGAUUAAGCUAGAGUAAGACCUAAAGUUAUCUAGUUUUUUUAUUUUUUUUUCUUUAUUCUCUCGGAAAUAGAACGUUCUUUCCCAUUGACAAGAGAAGAUUCUUUCCCAUUGACAAGAUGAUGCAGGAACUAGAUCUUGGAACACAAACAAAUUCACACCAAUAUUAAGAAGAACACUUCUCUUUCAUUAAUCAAUAAAAACCAAGUCCUUUACAUCUAACAAAAGGCCUUUAUAUAGGCUACAGUUUCUAAAUCCUAACCAAACCCUAAUACUAUAAAAAAGACGCAACUAACCUCCAACCCUAACAUAAGACAAAAAUUACGAAAAAUAGAAAAAUUUGAGUUAUGAUCAAAUCUGGACUCUACUCAUCUCUAGGAAUCCAAUGCCACAGACGGCAUGCAAAACGGAGUUCUCUAUAAAGAGAUAUAAACGAAACAAAACUUUCCUAAAAUAGUAAUAUUGGCUUUUUGAAGGCCUAAACGAUGUUAGAACCCCGAAAAACGCAAUAGCACAAGAGCAAAACUCGUGUGUCCUGAUCGUUGGCUUGUUUUCCUUCAGAAAAAGGGGUCCUGAUGCCACUUUAACAAACUGGAAAAAAUCUCAACUUGCCCACGGACGAGUCAAAGCAACUUCUGGUGUCGGACAGUCAAAUUACCCUCCCAUUUCUCUUCAAACAUAUCAGCUAACUCCUGUAUGCCAUCACCAGGAAACAAGAUUAAGGCUACACAAAAGCUAGUGGAGAACAAAAUAAGAAAAAAAAAAAAAAAAACAAUUACAAACAAAGGUUAUGUUGCUCAAAAUUUUAAACUAACCAUGUUAUAUACUUUUACUCCCACUAUAUAUGAUUUAGAGUAAAUAUACUUAAAGUUUUCUUAUUUGUUUUCCAUACAUGAAGUUGAGCUGGUCAGAACUACAGUACUAUUAUUAUUCAGGUUUGGAUCUGUUGUAUAUUGGUUCACAAUAGUUGGGUGCACAGGAUCAUACCUUAUAAGAGGUGUGAUCCAUAGGAUCAAUUCCUAUAUUGGUUAAGGAAACCAUAUAUGUGCAGGAGUUCUAUUUGGACUCGGCUUCCUAUUUAUCUCUAUUUUGAAUAAGUAAUUCUAUAUGGAUUUAGUUUCUAUCCAUGGGCUAUAAAUACCCAAGUAACUUGGUAUCUGUAAAGACAAGACAAGAGAGUAGAAAACAAUAGAAACAUAGAGAUAGAAAGAGUAAGUGAGGAAAAACUUUGGGAGCCAAGGGUGUACGUAUUGGGUUUAAGGUGAGAGAUUAAGAUCUUGAGAAAGAUACUAGGAAGAUUAUUGUAAUCGGUGUUUCUUUCCUUAUAGUGAAAUCUUCUCAUUGUUCCCCGUGGAGGUAGGCAUUGCCGAACCACGUAUAUCUUGGUGUUAUUGUUCUUUAUUGUUUUGUUCUUCUUAUAUUAUUGUUUAUUGUUUGGUAAUCUUUGACUUCAUUGACAAAACGGAUCUUGUAUUGCAAAGGAGGUGUUCUCACGAAUAUCUAGGUUGCGGGUUGUUGGCAUUGUUAGGAUUUAAUUAAUCACUGCAUAUAGUUCAACAAGUGGUAUCAGAGCUUAGGUUGGAUUUAAGGUUUUGUCAAACAUGACGGAGACUACAGGCGUUCCUGCAAAUAGUGACGGUAAGAAACCAUCGGUUACUACUCUUGGCGGCGGUGUAAAAGUUGAGAUUAAACUGUUUGACGGUAGAGAUAACUUUAAACUAUGGCAAAGGAAGAUGAGAAACGUUUUGAUCCAACAAGAUCUUCAUGUGGUUCUUGACGGGAAAGACAAGAAGCCAAAGGACAUGUCAGAUGAUGAGUAGAACAAAGCAGAUCUCAAAGCCAUGAGUCCCAUCGAACUACAUAUCUCGGACGAAGUGAUGUUUAAUGCGAUGGAGGAAACUAGCGCCAAAGAAACAUGGGAAAAGCUUGAGAAGUUGUAUAUGGGUAAGUCUUUGUCCAAUAAACUUUUCUUAAAUGAUGAACUCUUGAAUCUUCGUAUGGAAGAAGGUGGUGAUCUUAUGGAACAUCAAAACGUGUUCAAUAAGUGCAUCACAAAUUUGCUACGGAUGGAUGUGAAGUAUGACGAUGAAGACAAGUCUCUGUACCUGCUCAGAUCUUUUGUAAUACCCCGGGUCGGCAGGUGGUUUGCCGAGGGGUGUGUCCUACGGCACGUGAGAGGAGGAUAUCCUGACAUUGGAAUAUAGGUAUAGAUCCGUCAUAUAUAAUCACCGAGGCCUUUUGGGCUCACUUGGCUCUAGAAUUCGAAAGAACUCCGGAGUUAAGCGUGCUCGGGUGGGAGUAAUUCUCAGGAUGGGUGACCUCCUGGGAAGCAGGCUGCUGCCCAAUAAAACCCCACACUGUCGGAUGUCCGCAGUGGCUAAGUGGGGACAAUAUCGGUGGUGAUAUAGGCCGGGUCGCUACAAAUGGUAUCAGAGCCGACGACGGUUCUCCUGUCAAGGGUGGGAGAGUAUGCUGGAAAGGCGCCUAGCCCAAGAAGGGGUGACGGUUGCGCGAGGUACUCGUCUCGCGAGGGGCAGGGAACGUCGGAGAUCUGGGGCUUUAUAUUCCAGAGCCGAGGACGGCUCUCCUCUAAGGUGGUGGGAUUGUAAUACCCCGGGUCGGCAGGUGGUUUGCCGAGGGGUGUGUCCUACGGCACGUGAGAGGAGGAUAUCCUGACAUUGGAAUAUAGGUAUAGAUCCGUCAUAUAUAAUCACCGAGGCCUUUUGGGCUCACUUGGCUCUAGAAUUCGAAAGAACUCCGGAGUGAAGCGUGCUCGGGUGGGAGUAAUUCUCAGGAUGGGUGACCUCCUGGGAAGCAGGCUGCUGCCCAAUAAAACCCCACACUGUCGGAUGUCCGCAGUGGCUAAGUGGGGACAAUAUCGGUGGUGAUAUAGGUCGGGUCGCUACAUCUUUGCCUCCAUCUUUCAAGCACUUCAGGACCACAUUGAUGUUCGGCAAGAAUACUUUAAAGUAUGAUGAAGUUGUUCAAGAUAUAAUCUCUCAUGUGAAGAUGAAUAAGAACACAGGUGAAGACUCUCAAGCAGAAGGACUAUAUGUUAAUAAUUCUAAUGAGAGGGGUCGAACAAAUAAGAGAAGUAGCAAAUCAAAAGGCAGGGGAAGAUCUAAAUCCAGGGAUAAAGAAGGUUGCUUUGAAUGUGGUGCGACAGACGACUGGAAACGAGAUUAUAAGAAAUAUAAGGAAAAGAAGAAGAAGGCCGAAAAUUCAAAUUCAGCCAGCGUUGUUACAGAUGAUAGCGACGGAGAAAUUUUGGCGACUUCUUCAGGUAAUGAUAUUUUUUCGUCUUGGAUUUUAGAUUGUGGCGCUUCUUAUCAUAUGUGUUCAAACAAAGACUGGUUUGACAUGUUUGAGAAAAGAAAAGGCGACGUAGUUUUUAUGGGGAAUAAUUCCAGUUGUAAAGUUUGUGGAAUUGGUACGAUAAAGUUGAAGAUGCAUGAUGGAAUUGUUAGGACUCUGGGUAACGUGAAAUACGUUCCUGCGCUAAGGAAGAAUCUUAUUUCCCUGGGUUAUUUGGAUAAGAAUAGGUACACAUAAAAAUCCAAAGAUGGGAAUCUCAUAGUCUAAAAGGGUUCACUUGUGGUUAUGAGAGGAGUAAGACUUUCUAACAAUUUAUACAAGCUUUUAGGAAAUACAGUAAUUGGUGCAGCUGCAGUUUCUACACAAGAAGAUCACACUCAGCUUUGGCACUUGAGGCUAGGGCAUAUGAGUGAAAGAGCCAUGGAAGAACUAUACAAGCGACAAUUGUUGAAGGGUGGAGGAGAGUGUAAACUUGAGUUCUCCAAGUAUUGUAUUAGGGAAAGCAAACUAAAGUACACUUCAAAGCUGCAGAUACAAAGAACAGAAGUACAGAAGUACUUAACUAUAUUCACUCAGAUGUGUGAGGGCCUUCACCUACUCAAUCAAAAGGUGGAGCUCGCUACUUUGUCACUUUCAUGGAUGAUUUUUCGAGGUAAGUUUGGGUUUACUUCAUGAAGGAGAAAUCCGAAGUUUUCACUAAAUUCAUGGAGUGGAAGGCAGAGGUAGAGAAUCAAACAGACAGAAAAAUCAAGUAUCUAAGAACUUACAAUGGCGGUGAAUAUAAGGAUAGGAAGUUUCUACAGUACUGCAAAGAUGAAGGUAUUGCAAGGCAUUUUACCGUGAAGAAGAAUCCCCAAUAGAAUGGAGCUGCAGAAAGGAUGAAUGGAACUCUUAUGAAUAAAGAGAGGUGCAUGAGGUUUCAUGUAGGUCUGCCAGAGAUGUUUUGGGCAGAGUCACUUAACCAUGCUUGUCAAUUGGUUAAUCGUUCACCAUCCAAGAUGCUUUAUUUCAGAUGUGCAGAAGAGGUAUGGUCAGGUAAACCGGUAGACUACUCUACUUUGAAGGUAUUUGGAUGUAAUGCAUAUGCUCUUAAUCCUAGUGAUGAGAGAACCAAACUUAAACCCAAAUCUCAUGAAUGUAUUUUCAUCGGUUUUGAGAAGGGAGUGAAGGGUUAUAAGUUAUGGGAUCCAGUGAACCGAAAGAAAAUCCUUAGUAGAGAUGUUGUGUUUGAUGAGAAGACUAUGCCUAUGAAUCAAGACAUGAAGAAUGGUGAGAAAAACACUAUUGUUAAGAAAGCAACUACAGAGAUAUCUCCUCUUACCAAGGUAUCCAACAGGGAGACUCAUAUUCAGGUGGAGGAGUCAGAUGCAGGGGUUGAAGAGGAUGUGCCAGAACAACAACAGUGUGAAAAGGAGGUUGAAUCUAAUAAAGAUAAGCAAUAACCUUACAGCAUAGCAAAGAACCGUGGCCAAAGACAAGUCAAAGCACCUAUUAGACUUGGGUUUGAGGAAGAAGUUCAUUAUGCUUUAAGCAUUAGUGAAGGUGAUCCUACUUCUUAUCGUGAAGCAGCUGAUAGUAACGAAAGAGAAGAGUGGAUUGAAGCUAUGGCUGAAGAGAUGAAAUCUCUAUACAAGAACUCUUUUUGGGAGUUGGUUCCUAAACCCGCAGAAAGAAAAAUUGUUGGCUGUAAGUGGGUUUACAGGAAGAAGGUAGGAAUGCAUGAGAAAGAACCACCAAAGUUCAAAGCACGUUUGGUGGCGAAGGAGUACUAACAGAAGGAAGGAGUUGAUCAUGAUGAAAUUUUCUCUCCGGUAGUGAAACAUACUUCUAUCAGAGUGUUACUAUCACUGGUUGCUCAGCAGGAAAAAGAGCUUGAGCAGUUAGAUAUCAAAACUGCUUUUCUCCAUGGUGAAUCAGAGGAAAUCAUCUACAUGGCUCAACCUCAGGGUUUUGUUGAAGCUGGUAAGGAAAAUCUGGUUUGUAGGUUGAAGAAGUCUCUUUAUGGGCUCAAGCAAUCUUCAAGGCAGUGGUACAAACGUUUUGACUCUUAUAUGCUGAACAUUGGGUAUAGAAGAUGUGACUAUGAUUGUUGUGUGUACAGUCAUGUGUUUGAUGAUAGGAUGGUGAUCCUAUUGCUACUUUAUGUAGAUGACAUGCUUCUUGCUUGUCGAGAUAUGUCUAGAAUUAAGGAGCUAAAGACGUUGUUAAGCAAGGAAUUCGACAUGAAGGAUCUUGGUCCUGCACAGAAGAUCCUAGGUAUGGAGAUAAGGAGAGACAGGAAAGCUGAAAGAUAUGGCUGUCACAAGUUAAGUACAUUCAAAAGGUACUUGAGCGCUUCAAUAUGAUUGAUGCAGAUCCUGUGUAAACUCCUUUGAACAACAGUUUUGUUUUAAACAAAAGUCAAUGUCCUUCCACAUAUGCUGAAGUGGAAGAGAUGAAGAAGAAGCCGUAUGCAAGCGUAGUAGGGUGUCUCACGUACUCAAUGGUAUGCACAAGACCUGAUUUAGCUCAAACACUAAGUGUAGUAUCGAGAUACAUGGCGAAUCCGGGAAAGCCAUACUGGAAAGCUGUGACAUGGAUUCUCAAGUAUCUGAAGGGCACUAAGACGUUGGGUAUCUUGUUUGAAAGACAUGAAGGGAAAGCAUGUGUUUCGGGUUAUGUGGAUGCUGAUUAUGCAAGAGAUUUAGAUAAGCGAAGAUCCACUACAAGUACCGUCUUCACUUAUGGUGGAGGACCGGUUAGUUGGAGGUCAAUGCUCCAAACGGUUACUGUUUUAUCUACUACUGAGGCGGAGUAUAUGGCGGUAACAGAAGCUUGCAAAGAAGCUAUUUGGAUGAAGGGAUUCGUAAGCACAUUCGGGUUAGAUCAAAAUUCUAUGAUGGUAAGAUGUGACAUUUAGAGUGCUAUUUGCCUUGCGAAAAAUCAAAUGUUUCAUGCAAGAAAGAAACAUAUUGAUAUUCGCUAUCAUCGGAUUCGGGAUUGGUUGGACUCAGGUGAAAUUACAGUUGAGAAGGUUCACACAGAUGAGAAUGCUUCAGAUUGUCUUACUAAGCCGGUUUCAGUUGAGAAGUUCAGACAUUGUUUGAACUUGCUCAAUCUUUCUACAUGCUAAAGAUUGGGUGGAGCACCUCCUCACUUGAGGUGCGUUGAGGCAAGAGGAUUCUUGCCAAUGUGACAGUGCUUGAAGAAAUUCAAGCUGCGAUGAUCUUAUUUUUUGGUCGAUGGCUCGCCAAGGUGGAGAUUGUUGUAUAUUGGCUCGCAAUAGUUGGGUGCACAGGAUCAUACCUUAUAAGAGGUGUGAUCCAUAGGAUCAAUUCCUAUAUUGGUUAAGGAAACCACAUAUGUGCAGGAGUUCUAUUUGGACUCGGCUUCCUAUUUAUCUCUAUUUUGAAUAAGUAAUUCUAUAUGGAUUUGGUUUCUAUCCAUGGGCUAUAAAUACCCAAGUAACUUGGUAUUUGUAAAGACAAGACAAGAGAGUAGAAAACAAUAGAAACAUAGAGAUAGAAAGAGUAAGUGAGAAAAAACUUUGGGAGCCAAGGGUGUAUUGGGUUUAAGGUGAGAGAUUAAGAUUUUGAGAAAGAUACUAGGGAGAUUAUUGUAAUCGGUGUUUCUUUCCUUAUAGUGAAAUCUUCUCAUUGUUCCCCGUGGAGGUAGGUAUUGCCGAACCACAUAUAUCUUGGUGUUAUUGUUCUUUAUUGUUAUGUUCUUCUUAUACUAUUGUUUAUUGUUUGGUAAUCUUUGACUUCAUUGACAAAACGGAUCCUGUAUUGCAAAGGAGGUGUUCUCACGAAUAUCUAGGUUGCGGGUUGUUGGCGUUGUUAGGAUUUAAUUAAUCACUGCAUAUAGUUCAACAGGAUCUGCUCCGAUCAAAUGGUAGUGUUAGAAUUGUUGCCUAAACUUGAAGCGGAAAUAUUUAGGGUAGGUUUCUGAGUCAUGUCAUAUGCUUGGCUUCGAAACUCUAUUCGUUUUAGAUUAUCCUUCAAUAAUUGUUCAUCUAUUCCUAUUUUGAUUUCGCCAUAAAUGAAUUACUUUACUUCGUUGGUCUAUUAUUCCAAUGAGGAAUUAUGUGAGAUGUUGAUUAAUGGCAAGGUUCAUCUUACUUACGUGCUACUAUAAGUAAGAGGUAAUUCAAGCUUAUAGCUAGCUCAGAAAAAAUCUGUCAGCUUGGUGCAAUUAAACCCUUCCUCUAAAUCUCUCGGUAUUUUGGAGAAACUUUUAUAGACUAACAUAUCACCUUCAUCAAAUUUAAAAGACGUGGUUUGUGUAAGCCCCAAAUAAGUGCAAUCUAAUAAUAAUCAAUUAACAAACACAAACAAUAAAAUAAAAUAUGACUGCUCUGAGCAGUCGUUGGGGCAGUCGUUUAUUUCGGAGUCGUUUUCGUUAAACGACUGCGCACAAAUGUCGAUUAUUUAAAAUAUAAACGAUGACCCUAAAGCGACGAGUAAUAGCAGUCGUUUUAUUUUAAACCACAAACCUUCCAACUGUAUCUAAACAACAGUUUUUAGUAGUCGUUUCCUACCGUGUUUUUCACAUAUUUUUCACGUGUUGCCUACACAUGCUUUUCACAUGCAACCUGCACUGUAAUCAGAGAUCCCGACACCCACAUAUAAAUAUAAUUCUAAACAUUUCAGUUUUCUGCAAAUUAAAAGAAACUAUAACUUUUAUUUAUCAACAAAGUGUAUCCAAAGACCUUUCAAAACAACAACUAAUAAGUGUAAUGACAUUCUGACUCGAUAACAAUUUACCGUUCAUAACAAUGACAAUAACAAAAGAUUUCUUGUGACUCAACAAACCAUACUGGUAAUAACAUUGAAAACGUGAUCAAAUGAGUUGGGUUAGGACUGUAGGCCAUUGAAUUGUGUUCCCCACGUCAUAUCUCCGAAUGUUCUGCCUCUAACACCAAAUAAUUCAGCAGUCUAAUCUUUAACUUCAUCAAUAACAAUCUUAUAUGCAGCUCCCUCAAUACUUGUAAUUGUUCUGUAGACAAAAAGUCUUUUUCCAAUACUUAAUUAACAACUCACACGCUUGUUCAACAUGAAGAGUUGGUUGGCUAAGUAAAGGAUUCAUUGAUGCCUACAACAAAGAAGUUAUAUAUAUAUAUAUAUAUAUCGGGCUGUCUACGCUGCCCGAUAUCCGUUUUUUUUCAAUCCAUUAUCAUUUAGUCGUGCUCAAGGAAGCGAUAAAUCCAAAUUUCUUCUAGCACAAUUACAGAAAGUUGAAGGAAAAGAAUUUAUUUUUCUUCCUCACAAUCCUGGGUAAGCAAUUUGUUUGUUUAUAUAUUGAGGUUCUGUAUUUGUUACCUAUAUGAAACUUUGAUACAUAUUCAGGUGAAAUGACACAAUACAAAUAUUCUGAUGUAGAAAUUAUUGGGUUUUGAUUGCGAUUGUCUUAAAGCAUAUGGAUAUCUAUUAUUUGGAUUCAUUACACUAGGAGCCUACAGAAGACUUUAAGAUAUUUAUCAACAAUGGCCUAAUCCUAUACAAAAGGUUGCAAGGUCUCCGGAAUGCAGCAAAUCACAUGGGAAUCCAUUAAGGUAAACCCAUUAGAAAUAGAUAUAUUUUUGAAUCAGUUUUAAUAUUGCGCGGAAACUUAUUUGCUAUAUAAUUUUGUAAACAACAUGUGAUCAGACCUCUACCUGUUUUGAUCAAACCCUGCCAAUUCUUGGAUAAUCAAGCUUAUCCUUUGCUUUAUCCUCGAACCUGCAAUAAAAAUGCUGAUCCAUUGUUUCUGAUGCACCAUACCACAUAAACAGUUUCGUAAGGUAAUAUGGUCCACAUCCAUGAACCCAUUCUUCCCAUGUUCAACUUUGGCGAACAACUAAAUAUUGUAGCCAUGUCACCCUGGUUCUAUAAUAAGGUCUGUGUAUGUUCAAAUUGUACUAGUCAGAUGCUGCCAUGUAUUCCUUGUCAUGGUUGAUGAACAAAACAGAUGAAUAAUGUUCUGUUCCUAUAAUUUGCACAAUAUGCACCUGUUCGAUAAGAUAAAACCUCGAUCUUUGAGCAUGGCCAUUGUGAGAAUAAAUUCCCAGAGAAGGCACCACAAGAACACUUUCACAUUCAUUCUCACACAUGUCCUCCAAACUAGAUUGUGUGGGAAGUUCACUACGAGUUGCUCCACGUUUUGUUCAGACACACAUAGCUGGUAGUAGGAGGAUAUAACAUAAAUUUUUCUACAGGGCCCUAAACAACCAAAUAGUUGUUGUGCGCAGCAGAAACUUAUGCACCAAUACCCAAGAUUGAAAUAGUGUAUGAAUUAAACAAAACAAAAUAGAGAAGAUGAAACUCCUACUACUAUCAAACAAACCCACACAAAAUAUAAGAUUUACGUGGUUCGGCUAAUAUUGUCUACGUCCACGGACAAACAAAUAGAACUUUUACUAUUGGAGAAGAUAGUACGAAGCUCUCAAACAAAUGGAGAAACCCUAGGUUUUCUCCCUUCUCAAAUCCUCACCAAAUCUCUCAAAGGGACAAUCACAAAUUGAGGAUACAAACUCUCUCUCACACUUGGAUGGUGACGAUCACAAGCUCUCACAAAGAAACCAAAGUGUUCUUCCUCACAAAAGUUCUCUCAAACUCUCUAAUGGCUUCUCACAAUCUCUCACAUCAAGAUUAGGUUUUCCAACCUUCUCAUUGGCUUUAUAACAUAGCCUUAUAAUCAAACGAAAUGGGCUUAAACAGGGCGCAUAUGCAACAAACACAAUGAGGACGUACGUACGCCCUAACUACGUACGUACGUUCUAUCCCCUGAAAGUUAUCUGUGAUACAGGACGUACGUACGCCCUAACUAUGUACGUACGUUCCUGAAAGAAAAACUUCCCUCCGUCCUCUUUUCCACAAAAAACCCAACAAUUCACCACCUCGGCGAAGAUUCAAUAAAUCUAAGCCGACACCAAGUCCCAAACUCCCACACUUGUCCCGAAGGACAUCUCGGCUGCACCACCUCAUGGUUUCCUACGCACCCUUCUCCUAAGGGAUCAAGCCAUCGUAGUUCACUCCAAUGGCAUCUAUACGAUGCCCACCAUACCCAAAAGGGUCAACUUUCCACAAAGGGCCAAAUCAAAACCAAAUGCCCACCAAUGCCCUAUAGGGCUCACAAACAACUUCAACACAAUGCGGUCAAAUCUACCAAAUACCAUCUCCACCUCAACAAAGUUCUCCAUCGAAGAUGAUCCAAUGCCCUGAAAAACUAACCUCUCAAGAGUUUUUCCUAUGAAGUUCAACCAAGUGGGGUACAAAUUCAAAUCACUAUGCAUAGAUUUACCAAAUACGUCUUCCUUACUAAGCGCCAAACAAACAUCACAUGAGAGAUUACCAACAAUAGGAAGUACGUACACAAAACCCCCAAACAAAGGUUUCACGGCUUCAUAAGGUUCUUGGCCGAUAACCUUGCUACUAACAAUGGUGGCUUCAACUUUCUUCUUUGCCGUGCCACCUAACAAACCAAUCAAAUGUGGAGCGACAUCAAUCUCCACCCGAACAAAUGACGCUUCAACAAAAUGCCUACCAACUAUGCAUGUCUUGCCACCCGCAAACAAAUCUGUCUUCACUUGCAUAGUACCAUCAACGACAUGCCGCAUAUUACUAUGGAAUUCCUUGGUAGAAUCGACAGAUAAAUCAACAACUGAACUAUGCAAACCACAUGUAAUUGCACUUCCUUUCAAGUAGUACAACUUACCCUUUCUAAUGCCUUUCAUAACAACUCGUGCACCUACAACAACUUUUAGAGCUCUACCAAUACAUGUAAUUUUCAUACCAUCGGACUCUAAAACACCCAAUGAGAUCUGAUUCGUAGUCAACUCUGGUACAUACCAAACAUCUUCUAACUUUCGAGUGCAUCCAUCUUCCAACUUCAAUCGAACUGUACCUAUCCCAAAAGUUUUGCAAGUAUGAUCAUUAAUUACCAAGCAAAACACAAGCAUCUAGCUCCUGAAAGCUAUCAAACAACUCCCUAUUGGGACACAUAUGAUAGGAACAACCCGAAUCCAAAAUCCACUCAUUAGUAGAAUGACUAACUGAAGAUGAAGCCAACAACGAAACACCAACACAUGAAUCCUCAUCUCUUCGAUGUACACGAACAAUCUUCUUCUGCAAAUUUGGAUAAUUAAUUUUCUAAUGUCCCCAACAAUGACAAUAGGCACAUUCAUUCUUUGCAAGAGUUCUUCGACUUCUCAAUUUACAUUGAGAACCAACCAAUCUACCAAUAAUAUCAUCAACCACAUAGAGUCGGUCCUCUGUAUUUUUCAAAGCGUAUUUGUCUUCCAACUUGGACAACAUAACUAUUACAAUGGUUUUCAAUUUGACAAUGUACCACAAAUCUUCUACCAAACAAUAUCGGACAAAUUCACAAGCCUUUAAAUUUAGAGUUAACCAUUCAUCAUCAUUCAUAUUUCUCGAUUUAUCAUCAAGAACAUCCACAUAGCCAUUAAUGGCUAACCAAUCUUGUACCUCCGUCUUCCACAUAGCAAAGUCGAGGUUACCAUCAAAUUUAUGAAUGUCAACAUCUAACAACAAGGUUUGAUCAAACAAACUAUCAAUCUCCUUUCCAAAUUCACUCGAAUCCGAAAUAUGAUCCGACAUGAUACCAAUCAAUUUCAUACACCAAACAAUCACCAAACGAAGGUAAACAAAUUUGAAAAUUCACACAGGAAUUUCAACAAACACCUUCUUGACAACCCACGGAUAAAAGGUAGAACUUUUGGCUUGAAACACAAAUAAGAAACUCACUACGGAAUUUCUUCAAACACCUUCAAGAAGCUCAAGAUCUAGCCUGCAGCUCCGAUGCCACUUGUUGUGCGCAGCGGAAACUUAUGCACCAAUACCCAAGAUUGAAAUAGUGUAUGAAUUAUACAAAAUAAAAUAGAGAAGAUGAAACUCCUACUACUAUCAAACAAACCCACACAAAACACAAGAUUUACGUGGUUCGACUAAUAUUGCCUACGUCCACGGACAAACAAAUAGAACUUUUACUAUUGGAGAAGAUAGUACAAAGCUCUCAAACAAAUGGAGAAACCCUAGGUUUCCUCCCUUCUCAAAUCCUCACCAAAUCUCUCAAAGAGACAAUCACAAAUUGAGGAUACAAACUCUCUCUCACACUUGGAUGGAGACGAUCACAAGCCCUCACGAAGAAACCAAAGUGUUCUUCCUCACAAAAGUUCUCUCAAACUCUCUAAUGGUUUCUCACAAUCUCUCUCACAUCAAGAUUAGGUUUUUCAACCUUCUCAUUGGCUUUAUAACAUAGCCUUACAAUCAAACGAAAUGGGCUUAAACAGGGCCCAUAUGCAGCAAACACAAUGAGAACGUACGUACGCCCUAACUACGUAUAUACGUUCUAUCUCCUGAAAGUUAUCUGUGAUACAGGACGUACGUACGCCCUAACUACGUACGUACGUUCCUGAAAGAAAAACUUCCCUCCGUCUUCUUUUCCACAAAAAAUCCAACAAUAGUAGUCUUCACUGUGGAUACUAUGCUAUGAAGUUUACGAGAGAGCUGAUGGAAAAUCCAUCACAAUCUAUGCAAGCAAAGGUAUAUACUUACUAAUGAAUUUUUCCUAGGAUAUAUGUUAGAGGCCUUUAACAUUUAUUUUUUAGAUUUUUACAAUGUUGGGUUAUUAACUUGUAGGUACGGUAAAGACGUUGGCAGAGAAGAAGAACUACACGUAGACUGAGAUAAAUGAACUCCGACUUGAAAUUAUUGGAUUUGUUCAGCGAGCUAUACAUCAGCCUAGGAUGGAACCACCUAAUUCUUAGAUAGAGUUUUGUUUGGUUUAGGAAAUUUAGUUGAAAUGGAUAGUAUAUGUCUUUUCUAGUUGGGAAUAUACCUCAUUCUUUCUUUAUUGUUUUUGUUGCUUUUGUUUGCUUAUUUAAAAUGGAUAUUUCACUAAUAGAAUUGGUGGUAUAGAAAUCUAAUGCAAAUACUAUUUUAUAUUUUAUUUGAUUGUUGAAAGUACUUCUUCAGUUAUGUGUGCAUUAACAUUUUGAUGAGAGCAGCUUUAUGUGAUCUAAAAAAAGUUUUAGCGAUUUAAAAAAAAUAAAUAAGAUAAAUAAAAAUAAAAAUAAAAAUAAAAAUUUAUAUAUCACAGUUUUACCUACACCAUAGUUUAUCUAGCUAUAGUAGACGAUAUUUAUUUAUCUUAUAUCACAUGUUUUAAUCUUUUCUUCGAUAUAUAUUCUAUGACCGUGAUAUUUGUUGAGCUUUUAUAUCACAGAUUUUUGUAUUUUUACUAUCUUUUUAUCAUAUACGUAAUAUAUAUGUAAAACAUUUAUAUCACGGUUCGAGCCAAUAUAUAUCAAUAUUACAUUAAUAAAACUGUGAUAUAUGAUAAGUUUAUAUAUCACAGUUUUGUAACUAUAUAUCACGCCCUUCCAUAUCACGGUUUUCAAGUUCAAAAUAACCACUGAUUUAUGAGCUUUUUUGUAGUAGUGACGCUUUUUUAACAUGAUGUGAUGAUAAAAUAACUACUUUUAUAUCACGGUUUUAAUAUGAAGAUGGUUUUUCUUACAUAUAUAAUAUUACUGUUAUACAAACAAAACUGUGAUAUUUGAAAUAUUUAUUUAUCACCAUUUUUGUACACAUAUAUCACUCUCAACUUUAUCACGGUUGCAGAUGAUAAAAUAUCACGGUUAACAAAUGUGCAGCAUCUUCUGGGCUUGCUCGACACAACACAAAUUGGUUUGGGACAUCAACACCCCUAGGUGCAAGCUCGUCCACAGUUAAAAUGCGGUUCCACAUAAGAGAUCAUGUAAAGAUUUUAAUAUACAUUGGUACCCUCACAUCCCAAAUAACGUUGUAAGGGAGUGGCUCAAUGGGGGGAGAAAGAUAGGGAUCAUUUCGGUCGUUCACCACCACCUCCAACAACAUAUAUCCACACCUUCUUCAAGAUUGGAACUUGCCAAGAGGCCAUUCAGUGUCUCAAGUUCCAAAUAAGCUUCCGGCCCAUCCGAAGAUUCCGCCUUCUAAGUUCUAAAAGUGAGAUUCCAUCCCUCAUUUAUGCAACUAUAUAAUAAAGUAAAAAAAUAAAAAUGUCCCUUUAGUUUUUCAUUAGCAAUAAGAAGAAAUAAUCUACUUUUUUCACAGUUAAGUCAUUGAAAACAUCCUGUACUGUACAGGCCAAAUUUGACAUACUAAGUUGCCACUAUGUAAACCAUAUCCAACUAUUACGAGAGAACCUGUUUGCGCAUAAAAUAGUGUGUUGAUCAUGUGUAAGAGACCGGCUAUACAACAUAUACUGUACAGGCAUAAAAUAAUGUGUUAAUCAUGUGUAAGAGACAUCCUACACAACAUAUACUGUACAGGCCAAAGCGUACGAUCUCAUCUGGAGUGUUGUUGUUUUUAUUUUCAGCCAUUGUCAUGUGACAACUAUGUUAGACUCUGUUGCUGGUAGUUAAGUUUCUUUCAUUUUGUGCUUGAAUUGUAUAUGUAACGCUCCGGAAUUUUGUCCUCGCUCAUCCCGGUGCGUCGAGCACCAUACCGCUCAUUAAUAUCAAUAUUAUCCCCCUUUAGUCACUGCGGAUAUCCAGCAGUAGAAGGUUUUGGAUCAGGGUCCACCCAUCUGGUUUACCCCCGAAGACCUUGACAUUAGUUAGAGUAUGGUUAAGUUUUAUAUAGUACCAAUACAACCAUUACUGAGUUGGUGUAAGAACUUUGAAAAAAUUGAAAUUGUCUUAAAAGCAGCUCAUGGGCCUCAUGACCACACAAUUCAACAACAAUUAAGGUUGAUUACGGUUAAGUGUUAAAAUUAUCUAGUAUUUAAUUCAUUAUUAGAACAUCAAAAAAAUUUAUCUAGUCGUAAUUAUACGGUGUGGGGUUUGUAGGACCAAUAAAAAAUUACCAUUUGUCUAUAAAAUAGCCAAAAAUACUUUUUAAAAUUCUACUAGGGUUAACAUCACCCAUACAUGACGGUGUUUUAUUGAUCCCACAGAUCCCACACAUCUAUUUUCAUCCCUCUCCACAAUAAAAUGGUUGGGCCAAAUGUACAUAAAACUAGCACCAAAAUCAAAAUACAUUUUGGACUUCUAUUUGGGUUUGUGUUUACGGCCUUUGGACUUCGGUUGGGCCUGGGUUAAAACCUCUAAUGUAAACUCGUAUGUAUAUGUAUAUGGCAGUAGAGACAUUUGUACAACACACAAUAACACACAAAGUAAUUGCAUGUUUUAAUUAUGUGUGUAUUUUAAGAUAACAUGAUUGCAUGAGAUUUUUGAAGAUAAGAUUGAUUUGGCUGCAUAUAGAUUAUCGAUAUACCUUUAGGUGGUAGGUGAAGUUUGAGGUGGGCAGUAACUGAAGCCUGAGAUUAGGGAUGGUAGGUGAAGCUUGAGGUGGGAAGUGAAGAAUACAUUAUCCAACUGACAACUAUUUAAGUAACACUACAUGUAACUCUAGUUUCAUCAGCAGUAUUCCUCAAUACAAGUGUUCCCUCAGUCUUUUUUGUAAUAAGAUCUUUGAACUAAUCAAAGAAGAUGGAAGGCAAAGGUGUAAGAACCCCCUUUGGUACUGUGAUUAUGGGUGUACUCAUACUGACCCUACUUGUGGCACAAACCCAAGUAGAGGCUAAGAGCUGCUGCCCAUCCACCACAGCAAGAAAUAUCUAUAAUACUUGCCGUUUCACGGGCGGCUCCAGGCCAACGUGUGCGUCACUCUCUGGAUGUAAAAUUGUUAAUGGGAAGUGCCCCGCGGGUUUUGAUAAAAGCAUUCUCGAAAACUCUGGUAAAAUGAAAACUCACUAUUUCUGUUGUGCUUCUUUAAUUUACUUGUUACUGGAGAUUUCAUUUAAAUGCAAGUUGUGUACUUUUGACUCAAGGUGAUGCAAUUAACGAAUACUGCAAGUUGGGGUGUGCAUCUUCCGUGUGUAAUGCCGCCAUAAUCACUCUCCAGAACUCUGGUAAAGCGAACUCAUUACUUCUAUUUUGCUUCUCUUAUUUGUUACAAACAAGGGAUUCCAUUUUAACGCAUCUUGUUUUGGGGACUAGUUGCAGGUGAAGAAUCUGUGAAAGAAGUGGUUGAAAAAUGUAACAAUGCAUGUUCUGAGUUCUGCACCAAGGGUUCCAAUAUUGCAUUUGAAACCUCUUAAAGCAAGCAUAUGCAUGCAGAUAACACAGUCCAAGCGAAGGCGUGCUCUGGAGUGUUGUUCUAUCUAUUUUAAAUAAUCGUUGCAUGUGACAAGUAUUUAAGUUGUUUUUGUUUUGUGCAUGUGUCGUAAGUAGAGGGGUUGUCAUUGUAUAUCCCUUCUACGUACUAGUUUGCCAUUAUCUAAAUAAAGAUCGAGUAUGUACCAUGUGUUUUUAUUAAUCUUCUUCUAUCUUCUCUGCUUCAAUAUUUUCUAUUUCAUUUAUAUCCCACACGUUGAGAAACUGCUUCAAUAUUUUCUAUUUCAUUUAUAUCCCACACGUUGAGAAAAACUCUGCUUCUCAGCGCUUCGAACGAAACAGUUAAGGCUGACUAUGAGAUUAAGCUAGAGUAAGACCUAAAGUUAUCUAGUUUUUUUAUUUUUUUUUCUUUAUUCUCUCGGAAAUAGAACGUUCUUUCCCAUUGACAAGAGAAGAUUCUUUCCCAUUGACAAGAUGAUGCAGGAACUAGAUCUUGGAACACAAACAAAUUCACACCAAUAUUAAGAAGAACACUUCUCUUUCAUUAAUCAAUAAAAACCAAGUCCUUUACAUCUAACAAAAGGCCUUUAUAUAGGCUACAGUUUCUAAAUCCUAACCAAACCCUAAUACUAUAAAAAAGACGCAACUAACCUCCAACCCUAACAUAAGACAAAAAUUACCAAAAAUAGAAAAAUUUGAGUUAUGAUCAAAUCUGGACUCUACUCAUCUCUAGGAAUCCAAUGCCACAGACGGCAUGCAAAACGGAGUUCUCUAUAAAGAGAUAUAAACGAAACAAAACUUUCCUAAAAUAGUAAUAUUGGCUUUUUGAAGGCCUAAACGAUGUUAGAACCCCGAAAAACGCAAUAGCACAAGAGCAAAACUCGUGUGUCCUGAUCGUUGGCUUGUUUUCCUUCAGAAAAAGGGGUCCUGAUGCCACUUUAACAAACUGGAAAAAAUCUCAACUUGCCCACGGACGAGCCUCGAGCAACUUCUGGUGUCGGACAGUCAAAUUACCCUCCCAUUUCUCUUCAAACAUAUCAGCUAACUCCUGUAUGCCAUCACCAGAGAAGUUUCUUUCUCAUUCACACAAAGGAAACAAGAUUAAGGCUACACAAAAGCUAGUGGAGAACAAAAUAAGAAAAAAAAAAAAAAAAACAAUUACAAACAAAGGUUAUGUUGCUCAAAAUUUAAACUAACCAUGUUAUAUACUUUUACUCCCACUAUAUAUGAUUUAGAGUAAAUAUACUUAAAGUUUUCUUAUUUGUUUUCCAUACAUGAAGUUGAGCUGGUCAGAACUACAGUACUAUUAUUAUUCAGGUUUGGAUCUGUUGUAUAUUGGCUCACAAUAGUUGGGUGCACAGGAUCAUACCUUAUAAGAGGUGUGAUCCAUAGGAUCAAUUCCUAUAUUGGUUAAGGAAACCAUAUAUGUGCAGGAGUUCUAUUUGGACUCGGCUUCCUAUUUAUCUCUAUUUUGAAUAAGUAAUUCUAUAUGGAUUUAGUUUCUAUCCAUGGGCUAUAAAUACCCAAGUAACUUGGUAUCUGUAAAGACAAGACAAGAGAGUAGAAAACAAUAGAAACAUAGAGAUAGAAAGAGUAAGUGAGAAAAAACUUUGGGAGCCAAGGGUGUACGUAUUGGGUUUAAGGUGAGAAAUUAAGAUCUUGAGAAAGAUACUAGGAAGAUUAUUGUAAUCGGUGUUUCUUUCCUUAUAGUGACAUCUUCUCAUUGUUCCCCGUGGAGGUAGGCAUUGCCGAACCACGUAUAUCUUGGUGUUAUUGUUCUUUAUUGUUUUGUUCUUCUUAUAUUAUUGUUUAUUGUUUGGUAAUCUUUGACUUCAUUGACAAAACAGAUCUUGUAUUGCAAAGGAGGUGUUCUCACGAAUAUCUAGGUUGCGGGUUGUUGGCGUUGUUAGGAUUUAAUUAAUCACUGCAUAUAGUUCAACAAGUGGUAUCAGAGCUUAGGUUGGAUUUAAGGUUUUGUCAAACAUGACGGAGACUACAGGUGUUCCUGCAAAUAGUGACGGUAAGAAACCAUCGGUUACUACUCUUGGCGGCGGUGUAAAAGUUGAGAUUAAACUGUUUGACGGUAGAGAUAACUUUAAACUAUGGCAAAGGAAGAUGAGAAACGUUUUGAUCCAACAAGAUCUUCAUGUGGUUCUUGACGGGAAAGACAAGAAGCCAAAGGACAUGUCAGAUGAUGAGUAGAACAAAGCAGAUCUCAAAGCCAUGAGUCCCAUCGAACUACAUAUCUCGGACGAAGUGAUGUUUAAUGCGAUGGAGGAAACUAGCGCCAAAGAAACAUGGGAAAAGCUUGAGAAGUUGUAUAUGGGUAAGUCUUUGUCCAAUAAACUUUUCUUAAAUGAUGAACUCUUGAAUCUUCGUAUGGAAGAAGGUGGUGAUCUUAUGGAACAUCAAAACGUGUUCAAUAAGUGCAUCACAAAUUUGCUACGGAUGGAUGUGAAGUAUGACGAUGAAGACAAGUCUCUGUACCUGCUCAGAUCUUUUGUAAUACCCCGGGUCGGCAGGUGGUUUGCCGAGGGGUGUGUCCUACGGCACAUGAGAGGAGGAUAUCCUGACAUUGGAAUAUAGGUAUAGAUCCGUCAUAUAUAAUCACCGAGGCCUUUUGGGCUCACUUGGCUCUAGAAUUCGAAAGAACUCCGGAGUUAAGCGUGCUCGGGUGGGAGUAAUUCUCAGGAUGGGUGACCUCCUGCGAAGCAGGCUGCUGCCCAAUAAAACCCCACACUGUCGGAUGUCCGCAGUGGCUAAGUGGGGACAAUAUCGGUGGUGAUAUAGGCCGGGUCGCUACAAAUGGUAUCAGAGCCGACGACGGUUCUCCUGUCGAGGGUGGGAGAGUAUGCUGGAAAGGCGCCUAUCCCAGGAAGGGGUGACGGUUGCGCCAGGUACUCGUCUCGCGAGGGGCAGGGAACGUCGGAGAUCUGGGGCUGUAUAUUCCAGAGCCGAGGACGGCUCUCCUCUAAGGUGGUGGGAUUGUAAUACCCCGGGUCGGCAGGUGGUUUGCCGAGGGGUGUGUCCUACGGCACGUGAGAGGAGGAUAUCCUGACAUUGGAAUAUAGGUAUAGAUCCGUCAUAUAUAAUCACCGAGGCCUUUUGGGCUCACUUGGCUCUAGAAUUCGAAAGAACUCCGGAGUUAAGCGUGCUCGGGUGGGAGUAAUUCUCAGGAUGGGUGACCUCCUGGGAAGCAGGCUGCUGCCCAAUAAAACCCCACACUGUCGGAUGUCCGCAGUGGCUAAGUGGGGACAAUAUCGGUGGUGAUAUAGGUCGGGUCGCUACAAAUGGUAUCAGAGCCGACGACGGUUCUCCUGUCGAGGGUGGGAGAGUGUGCUGGAAAGGCGCCUAGCCCAGGAAGGGGUGACGGUUGCGCCAGGUACUCGUCUCGCGAGGGGCAGGGAACGUCGGAGAUCUGGGGCUGUAUAUUCCAGAGCCGAGGACGGCUCUCCUCUAAGGUGGUGGGAUUGUAAUACCCCGGGUCGGCAGGUGGUUUGCCGAGGGGUGUGUCCUACGGCACGUGAGAGGAGGAUAUCCUGACAUUGGAAUAUAGGUAUAGAUCCGUCAUAUAUAAUCACCGAGGCCUUUUGGGCUCACUUGGCUCUAGAAUUCGAAAGAACUCCGGAGUUAAGCGUGCUCGGGUGGGAGUAAUUCUCAGGAUGGGUGACAUCCUGGGAAGCAGGCUGCUGCCCAAUAAAACCCCACACUGUCGGAUGUCCGCAGUGGCUAAGUGGGGACAAUAUCGGUGGUGAUAUAGGUCGGGUCGCUACACCUUUGCCUCCAUCUUUCAAGCACUUCAGGACCACAUUGAUGUUCGGCAAGAAUACUUUAAAGUAUGAUGAAGUUGUUCAAGAUAUAAUCUCUCAUGUGAAGAUGAAUAAGAACACAGGUGAAGACUCUCAAGCAGAAGGACUAUAUGUUAAUAAUUCUAAUGAGAGGGGCCGAACAAAUAAGAGAAGUAGCAAAUCAAAAGGCAUGGGAAGAUCUAAAUCCAGGGAUAAAGAAGGUUGCUUUGAAUGUGGUGCGACAGACGACUGGAAACGAGAUUGUAAGAAAUAUAAGGAAAAGAAGAAGAAGGCCGAAAAUUCAAAUUCAGCCAGCGUUGUUACAGAUGAUAGCGACGGAGAAAUUUUGGCGACUUCUUCAGGUAAUGAUAUUUUUUCGUCUUGGAUUUUAGAUUGUGGCGCUUCUUAUCAUAUGUGUUCAAACAAAGACUGGUUUGACAUGUUUGAGAAAAGAAAAGGCGACGUAGUUUUUAUGGGGAAUAAUUCCAGUUGUAAAGUUUGUGGAAUUGGUACGAUAAAGUUGAAGAUGCAUGAUGGAAUUGUUAGGACUCUGGGUAACGUGAAAUACGUUCCUGCGCUAAGGAAGAAUCUUAUUUCCCUGGGUUAUUUGGAUAAGAAUGGGUACACAUAAAAAUCCAAAGAUGGGAAUCUCAUAGUCUAAAAGGGUUCACUUGUGGUUAUGAGAGGAGUAAGACUUUCUAACAAUUUAUACAAGCUUUUAGGAAAUACAGUAAUUGGUGCAGCUGCAGUUUCUACACAAGAAGAUCACACUCAGCUUUGGCACUUGAGGCUAGGGCAUAUGAGUGAAAGAGCCAUGGAAGAACUAUACAAGCGACAAUUGUUGAAGGGUGGAGGAGAGUGUAAUAAACUUGAGUUCUCCAAGUAUUGUAUUAGGGAAAGCAAACUAAAGUACACUUCAAAGCUGCAGAUACAAAGAACAGAAGUACAGAAGUACUUAACUAUAUUCACUCAGAUGUGUGAGGGCCUUCACCUACUCAAUCAAAAGGUGGAGCUCGCUACUUUGUCACUUUCAUGGAUGAUUUUUCGAGGAAAGUUUGGGUUUACUUCAUGAAGGAGAAAUCCGAAGUUUUCACUAAAUUCAUGGAGUGGAAGGCAGAGGUAGAGAAUCAAACAGGCAGAAAAAUCAAGUAUCUAAGAACUUACAAUGGCGGUGAAUAUAAGGAUAGGAAGUUUCUACAGUACUGCAAAGAUGAAGGUAUUGCAAGGCAUUUUACCGUGAAGAAGAAUCCCCAAUAGAAUGGAGCUGCAGAAAGGAUGAAUGGAACUCUUAUGAAUAAAGAGAGGUGCAUGAGGUUUCAUGUAGGUCUGCCAGAGAUGUUUUGGGCAGAGUCACUUAACCAUGCUUGUCAAUUGGUUAAUCGUUCACCAUCCAAGAUGCUUGAUUUCAGAUGUGCAGAAGAGGUAUGGUCAGGUAAACCGGUAGACUACUCUACUUUGAAGGUAUUUGGAUGUAAUGCAUAUGCUCUUAUUCCUAGUGAUGAGAGAACCAAACUUAAACCCAAAUCUCAUGAAUGUAUUUUCAUCGGUUUUGAGAAGGGAGUGAAGGGUUAUAAGUUAUGGGAUCCAGUGAACCGAAAGAAAAUCCUUAGUAGAGAUGUUGUGUUUGAUGAGAAGACUAUGCCUAUGAAUCAAGACAUGAAGAAUGGUGAGAAAAACACUAUUGUUAAGAAAGCAACUACAGAGAUAUCUCCUCUUACCAAGGUAUCCAACAGGGAGACUCAUAUUCAGGUGGAGGAGUCAGAUGCAGGGGUUGAAGAGGAUGUGCCAGAACAACAACAGUGUGAAAAGGAGGUUGAAUCUAAUAAAGAUAAGCAAUAACCUUACAGCAUAGCAAAGAACCGUGGCCAAAGACAAGUCAAAGCACCUAUUAGACUUGGGUUUGAGGAAGAAGUUCAUUAUGCUUUAAGCAUUAGUGAAGGUGAUCCUACUUCUUAUCGUGAAGCAGCUGAUAGUAACGAAAGAGAAGAGUGGAUUGAAGCUAUGGCUGAAGAGAUGAAAUCUCUAUACAAGAACUCUUUUUGGGAGUUGGUUCCUAAACCCGCAGAAAGAAAAAUUGUUGGCUGUAAGUGGGUUUACAGGAAGAAGGUAGGAAUGCAUGAGAAAGAACCACCAAAGUUCAAAGCACGUUUGGUGGCGAAGGAGUACUAACAGAAGGAAGGAGUUGAUCAUGAUGAAAUUUUCUCUCCGGUAGUGAAACAUACUUCUAUCAGAGUGUUACUAUCACUGGUUGCUCAGCAGGAAAAAGAGCUUGAGCAGUUAGAUAUCAAAACUGCUUUUCUCCAUGGUGAAUCAGAGGAAAUCAUCUACAUGGCUCAACCUCAGGGUUUUGUUGAAGCUGGUAAGGAAAAUCUGGUUUGUAGGUUGAAGAAGUCUCUUUAUGGGCUCAAGCAAUCUUCAAGGCAGUGGUACAAACGUUUUGACUCUUAUAUGCUGAACAUUGGGUAUAGAAGAUGUGACUAUGAUUGUUGUGUGUACAGUCAUGUGUUUGAUGAUAGGAUGGUGAUCCUAUUGCUACUUUAUGUAGAUGACAUGCUUAUUGCUUGUCGAGAUAUGUCUAGAAUUAAGGAGCUAAAGACGUUGUUAAGCAAGGAAUUCGACAUGAAGGAUCUUGGUCCUGCACAGAAGAUCCUAGGUAUGGAGAUAAGGAGAGACAGGAAAGCUGAAAGAUAUGGCUGUCACAAGUUAAGUACAUUCAAAAGGUACUUGAGCGCUUCAAUAUGAUUGAUGCAGAUCCUGUGUAAACUCCUUUGAACAACAGUUUUGUUUUAAACAAAAGUCAAUGUCCUUCCACAUAUGCUGAAGUGGAAGAGAUGAAGAAGAAGCCGUAUGCAAGCGUAGUAGGGUGUCUCACGUACUCAAUGGUAUGCACAAGACCUGAUUUAGCUCAAACACUAAGUGUAGUAUCGAGAUACAUGGCGAAUCCGGGAAAGCCAUACUGGAAAGCUGUGACAUGGAUUCUCAAGUAUCUGAAGGGCACUAAGACGUUGGGUAUCUUGUUUGAAAGACAUGAAGGGAAAGCAUGUGUUUCGGGUUAUGUGGAUGCUGAUUAUGCAAGAGAUUUAGAUAAGCGAAGAUCCACUACAAGUACCGUCUUCACUUAUGGUGGAGGACCGGUUAGUUGGAGGUCAAUGCUCCAAACGGUUACUGUUUUAUCUACUACUGAGGCGGAGUAUAUGGCGGUAACAGAAGCUUGCAAAGAAGCUAUUUGGAUGAAGGGAUUCGUAAGCACAUUCGGGUUAGAUCAAAAUUCUAUGAUGGUAAGAUGUGACAUUUAGAGUGCUAUUUGCCUUGCGAAAAAUCAAAUGUUUCAUGCAAGAAAGAAACAUAUUGAUAUUCGCUAUCAUCGGAUUCGGGAUUGGUUGGACUCAGGUGAAAUUACAGUUGAGAAGGUUCACACAGAUGAGAAUGCUUCAGAUUGUCUUACUAAGCCGGUUUCAGUUGAGAAGUUCAGACAUUGUUUGAACUUGCUCAAUCUUUCUACAUGCUAAAGAUUGGGUGGAGCACCUCCUCACUUGAGGUGCGUUGAGGCAAGAGGAUUCUUGCCAAUGUGACAGUGCUUGAAGAAAUUCAAGCUGCGAUGAUCUUAUUUUUUGGUCGAUGGCUCGCCAAGGUGGAGAUUGUUGUAUAUUGGCUCGCAAUAGUUGGGUGCACAGGAUCAUACCUUAUAAGAGGUGUGAUCCAUAGGAUCAAUUCCUAUAUUGGUUAAGGAAACCACAUAUGUGCAGGAGUUCUAUUUGGACUCGGCUUCCUAUUUAUCUCUAUUUUGAAUAAGUAAUUCUAUAUGGAUUUGGUUUCUAUCCAUGGGCUAUAAAUACCCAAGUAACUUGGUAUUUGUAAAGACAAGACAAGAGAGUAGAAAACAAUAGAAACAUAGAGAUAGAAAGAGUAAGUGAGAAAAAACUUUGGGAGCCAAGGGUGUAUUGGGUUUAAGGUGAGAGAUUAAGAUUUUGAGAAAGAUACUAGGGAGAUUAUUGUAAUCGGUGUUUCUUUCCUUAUAGUGAAAUCUUCUCAUUGUUCCCCGUGGAGGUAGGUAUUGCCGAACCACAUAUAUCUUGGUGUUAUUGUUCUUUAUUGUUAUGUUCUUCUUAUACUAUUGUUUAUUGUUUGGUAAUCUUUGACUUCAUUGACAAAACGGAUCCUGUAUUGCAAAGGAGGUGUUCUCACGAAUAUCUAGGUUGCGGGUUGUUGGCGUUGUUAGGAUUUAAUUAAUCACUGCAUAUAGUUCAACAGGAUCUGCUCCGAUCAAAUGGUAGUGUUAGAAUUGUUGCCUAAACUUGAAGCGGAAAUAUUUAGGGUAGGUUUCUGAGUCAUGUCAUAUGCUUGGCUUCGAAACUCUAUUCGUUUUAGAUUAUCCUUCAAUAAUUGUUCAUCUAUUCCUAUUUUGAUUUCGCCAUAAAUGAAUUACUUUACUUCGUUGGUCUAUUAUUCCAAUGAGGAAUUAUGUGAGAUGUUGAUUAAUGGCAAGGUUCAUCUUACUUACGUGCUACUAUAAGUAAGAGGUAAUUCAAGCUUAUAGCUAGCUCAGAAAAAAUCUGUCAGCUUGGUGCAAUUAAACCCUUCCUCUAAAUCUCUCGGUAUUUUGGAGAAACUUUUAUAGACUAACAUAUCACCUUCAUCAAAUUUAAAAGACGUGGUUUGUGUAAGCCCCAAAUAAGUGCAAUCUAAUAAUAAUCAAUUAACAAACACAAACAAUAAAAUAAAAUAUGACUGCUCUGAGCAGUCGUUGGGGCAGUCGUUUAUUUCGGAGUCGUUUUCGUUAAACGACUGCGCACAAAUGUCGAUUAUUUAAAAUAUAAACGAUGACCCUAAAGCGACGAGUAAUAGCAGUCGUUUUAUUUUAAACCACAAACCUUCCAACUGUAUCUAAACAACAGUUUUUAGUAGUCGUUUCCUACCGUGUUUUUCACAUAUUUUUCACGUGUUGCCUACACAUGCUUUUCACAUGCAACCUGCACUGUAAUCAGAGAUCCCGACACCCACAUAUAAAUAUAAUUCUAAACAUUUCAGUUUUCUGCAAAUUAAAAGAAACUAUAACUUUUAUUUAUCAACAAAGUGUAUCCAAAGACCUUUCAAAACAACAACUAAUAAGUGUAAUGACAUUCUGACUCGAUAACAAUUUACCGUUCAUAACAAUGACAAUAACAAAAGAUUUCUUGUGACUCAACAAACCAUACUGGUAAUAACAUUGAAAACGUGAUCAAAUGAGUUGGGUUAGGACUGUAGGCCAUUGAAUUGUGUUCCCCACGUCAUAUCUCCGAAUGUUCUGCCUCUAACACCAAAUAAUUCAGCAGUCUAAUCUUUAACUUCAUCAAUAACAAUCUUAUAUGCAGCUCCCUCAAUACUUGUAAUUGUUCUGUAGACAAAAAGUCUUUUUCCAAUACUUAAUUAACAACUCACACGCUUGUUCAACAUGAAGAGUUGGUUGGCUAAGUAAAGGAUUCAUUGAUGCCUACAACAAAGAAGUUAUAUAUAUAUAUAUAUCGGGCUGUCUACGCUGCCCGAUAUCCGUUUUUUUUCAAUCCAUUAUCAUUUAGUCGUGCUCAAGGAAGCGAUAAAUCCAAAUUUCUUCUAGCACAAUUACAGAAAGUUGAAGGAAAAGAAUUUAUUUUUCUUCCUCACAAUCCUGGGUAAGCAAUUUGUUUGUUUAUAUAUUGAGGUUCUGUAUUUGUUACCUAUAUGAAACUUUGAUACAUAUUCAGGUGAAAUGACACAAUACAAAUAUUCUGAUGUAGAAAUCAUUGGGUUUUGAUUGCGAUUGUCUUAAAGCAUAUGGAUAUCUAUUAUUUGGAUUCAUUACACUAGGAGCCUACAGAAGACUUUAAGAUAUUUAUCAACAAUGGCCUAAUCCUAUACAAAAGGUUGCAAGGUCUCCGGAAUGCAGCAAAUCACAUGGGAAUCCAUUAAGGUAAACCCAUUAGAAAUAGAUAUAUUUUUGAAUCAGUUUUAAUAUUGCGCGGAAACUUAUUUGCUAUAUAAUUUUGUAAACAACAUGUGAUCAGACCUCUACCUGUUUUGAUCAAACCCUGCCAAUUCUUGGAUAAUCAAGCUUAUCCUUUGCUUUAUCCUCGAACCUGCAAUAAAAAUGCUGAUCCAUUGUUUCUGAUGCACCAUACCACAUAAACAGUUUCGUAAGGUAAUAUGGUCCACAUCCAUGAACCCAUUCUUCCCAUGUUCAACUUUGGCGAACAACUAAAUAUUGUAGCCAUGUCACCCUGGUUCUAUAAUAAGGUCUGUGUAUGUUCAAAUUGUACUAGUCAGAUGCUGCCAUGUAUUCCUUGUCAUGGUUGAUGAACAAAACAGAUGAAUAAUGUUCUGUUCCUAUAAUUUGCACAAUAUGCACCUGUUCGAUAAGAUAAAACCUCGAUCUUUGAGCAUGGCCAUUGUGAGAAUAAAUUCCCAGAGAAGGCACCACAAGAACACUUUCACAUUCAUUCUCACACAUGUCCUCCAAACUAGAUUGUGUGGGAAGUUCACUACGAGUUGCUCCACGUUUUGUUCAGACACACAUAGCUGGUAGUAGGAGGAUAUAACAUAAAUUUUUCUACAGGGCCCUAAACAACCAAAUAGUUGUUGUGCGCAGCAGAAACUUAUGCACCAAUACCCAAGAUUGAAAUAGUGUAUGAAUUAAACAAAACAAAAUAGAGAAGAUGAAACUCCUACUACUAUCAAACAAACCCACACAAAAUAUAAGAUUUACGUGGUUCGGCUAAUAUUGUCUACGUCCACGGACAAACAAAUAGAACUUUUACUAUUGGAGAAGAUAGUACGAAGCUCUCAAACAAAUGGAGAAACCCUAGGUUUUCUCCCUUCUCAAAUCCUCACCAAAUCUCUCAAAGGGACAAUCACAAAUUGAGGAUACAAACUCUCUCUCACACUUGGAUGGUGACGAUCACAAGCUCUCACAAAGAAACCAAAGUGUUCUUCCUCACAAAAGUUCUCUCAAACUCUCUAAUGGCUUCUCACAAUCUCUCACAUCAAGAUUAGGUUUUCCAACCUUCUCAUUGGCUUUAUAACAUAGCCUUAUAAUCAAACGAAAUGGGCUUAAACAGGGCGCAUAUGCAACAAACACAAUGAGGACGUACGUACGCCCUAACUACGUACGUACGUUCUAUCCCCUGAAAGUUAUCUGUGAUACAGGACGUACGUACGCCCUAACUAUGUACGUACGUUCCUGAAAGAAAAACUUCCCUCCGUCCUCUUUUCCACAAAAAACCCAACAAUUCACCACCUCGGCGAAGAUUCAAUAAAUCUAAGCCGACACCAAGUCCCAAACUCCCACACUUGUCCCGAAGGACAUCUCGGCUGCACCACCUCAUGGUUUCCUACGCACCCUUCUCCUAAGGGAUCAAGCCAUCGUAGUUCACUCCAAUGGCAUCUAUACGAUGCCCACCAUACCCAAAAGGGUCAACUUUCCACAAAGGGCCAAAUCAAAACCAAAUGCCCACCAAUGCCCUAUAGGGCUCACAAACAACUCAACACAAUGCGNNNNNNNNNNNNNNNNNNNNNNNNNNNNNNNNNNNNNNNNNNNNNNNNNNNNNNNNNNNNNNNNNNNNNNNNNNNNNNNNNNNNNNNNNNNNNNNNNNNNUCAUCUGCCUUAACAUGACCGUUCUUCAAAUCUGGAAAAGACAAAUCAGUAGCAGAACGAGGAUUAAACCCAUAAUUAAUCUUAAAUGGAUUAAACCCUGUACUCCUAUUCACAGAACGGUUAAAAGCAAACUCUGCCUGAAACAUCAACUGAUCCCAGCUUGUCACAUGAGCAUUAACCAAAGUACGAAGUAGGUUGCCCAAAGAACGGUUAACAACUUCUGUUUGUCCAUCAGUCUGUAGAUGAUAUGCACUACUAAAAUCCAACUCAAUACGCACACAUUUCUAUAAACUCCGCCAAAAGUCACUUAAAAACUUUGAGUCACGAUCAGAAACAAUUGACCGAGGCAAACCAUGAAGACGGUAAACUUCCGCAAAGAACAAUCGAGCAACAUUAACUGCAUCAUCUAUUUUCUUGCAAGCAAAGAAAUGAGCCAUCUUAGCAAACCUGUCAACCACAAGAAAAACAGAAUCUCGACCCCGUUGUGUACGUGGUAAUCCAAGCACAAAAUCCAUACUGAUAUCAGUCCAAGGCUGUAAGGGUACUGAUAGUGGCAUGUACAAUCCCGCAUUUGUCGCAUGUCCCUUUGACACCUGGCAGAUAUGACAACGAUCAACAAAUUUAUGCACCUCUUUAAACAAACUAGGCCAAAAAUAGGACUCAGAAAGGAGCUGUAAGUCUUAUCACGCCCAAAAUGUCCUUCACCAUGCAAUUCCUUGAUAAGCCUCAAACGAAGGCUACAAGUAGGAACACACAAUCGUUUCCCUUUGAAGAGAAACCCAUCUUGCAAUAGAAACUCAGAACGCUUUCCCGCUACAGUGUCAUCCAGAAUAGCAGAAAAAUAAGGGUCAUCAACAUAUAAUUCACGAAACGAAUCAAAACCCAAAACCUGUGUACGCAUGGUGGUAAGUAAAGCGACACGUCGACUAAGAGCAUCUACAACUUUAUUCUGAACACCAGACUUGUGCUUCAGUUACAAAAGUAUAAUCCUCCAUAUAUUGAGACCAUCUCAUAUGCCGAGAACUUACUUUAUCCUGACUGCCAAUAUACUUUAAUGCAUCAUGAUCAGUAUAUACGAUAAAAGCAUAAUGAAUAAGAUAAUGACGCUAAUGCUCCAGAGUUCGAAUCAAAGUAUAAAACUCUAAAUCAUAAGUGCUAUAAUUCUUUUUCGCACCAGACAACUUUUCACUGAAAUAAGCAACCGGUCUUCCAUUCUGGCUAAGAACAACACCAAUACCCACUUUUGAAGCAUCUGUAUGUACUUCAAAAGGAACAGAAAAAUCUGGAAGAACUAAAAUUGGAGCAGACACCAAUUUGUGUUUUACUUGUUGAAAACUUGCCUCAGCUGCGUCAGUCUAGCAAAUUUUCCUCCUUUCAUACAAUCUGUGAUAUGUGCAGUAACUGUACUGAAAUGAGGAAUAAAACGCCUGUAGAAUGAUGCAAACCCAUGAAAACUACGAACAUCAUGCAAGGUCUACGGAGUAGGCCAAUUAACAACAGCCUCAAUCUUUGACUCAUCGACAGGAAUGCCAUCCUUAGAGAUCACAUACCCAAGGAAUAAAACACGAUCAAUACAGAACACACACUUUUGAGUGGCUGCGUAAAACUGUUGGGCACGCAAAACUAACAGAAUCUCCCAUAGAUGCUGGAGGUGCAACUGUAAAUCUGCACUAUAAAUAAGAAUAUCAUCAAAAUACACAACCAAGCAACAACCAAUAAAAGGCUUUAAAACCUGAUUCAUAAUACGCAUGAAGGUAUUAGGCGCAUUGGAGAGUCCAAAUGGCAUCACAAGCCACUCAUACAAGCCCUCGCGGGUUUUAAAAGCCGUCUUCCAUUCAUCCCCCAAACGAAUUUGAAUCUGAUGAUACCCACUCUUGAGAUCUAGCUUACUAAAUAUUGCGGCCCCAUGCAAUUGAUCAAGUAAAUCAUCAAGGCGAGGGAUUGGGAAACGGUACUUAAUAGUAAUUUUGUUGACAGCACGGCUAUCAACGCACAUACGCCAACUACCAUCCUUCUUUGGUAUCAAUAAGGCAAGAACAGCACAAGGGCUCAAACUCUCACGAAUAUAUCCCUUCUCAAGUGACUCAACAACUCGUCGCUGUAAUUCAUCAUGCUCUCGUGGACUCAUACGAUAAUGAGGACGAUUAGGCAGAGUAGAUCCUGAGACAAGAUCAAUCUGAUGCUGAAUAUCCCGCAUAGGAGGCAAACCCUUAGGUAACUGAACAGGAAGAACAUCUGCAAAUUCGUCAAGUACACCCUUGACACACUCAGCCACUAACACAGAUUCACUCUGAUCUUCACCCAUCAACAAAUACACCAUACCAGUUGCUUCCAUCUCCUUAACAAAGCGUUUUGCUGUUAAAAAAAAAAUAGAAUUGCUAUGUGUUGUAGGUUUAGAAGAAACAUCUUUACUAGGCAUUAAUACAAUACGAACAGAGCCAACCAUAAAACUAUAAGUAUUUUUAUGACCAUCAUGGUGAACAUAACGAUCAUACUGCCAUGGUAUACUUAACAGCAAAUGACAUGCAUCCAUAGAGACAACAUCACACCAAACUUUAUCCCGAUACUUUGCACCAAUAGAAAAAGCAACCAAACAACAUUUAGUGACAGAUACCUCCACCCCUUUCUUGAGCCAUGAAAGGGAAUAUGGUUCAGGAUGCUUCUCAGUUGCCAGCUUCAGGUUUGAAACAGCUUCAUCAGAAACCACGUUUUCACAGCUACCAGGAUCAAUAAUCAGUUGAUAGACUCUCCCCCCAAUAGUACAACUUGAACGGAAAAUAUUGUAUCUCAAUCAUGCAUCUCCUUCUGUGUCUUUAGCAGUAAGACAGAUCCUGCGAGUGAUUAAACAUUCACCCCUAACACCAUGAACAACCUCUUCCUCAACCUCGUUAUUGUCGAACAGUGGGUUAUCAAACAAUGGAGAACCCUCAAAACCCUCCAUUCCUUCAUCUGUACCAUCAUCACCAUCAAUAAAUAAAUUUUUUCCUUGCCUAUCACUCUUUCUACAAUCAACAGAUUUAUGUCCAGUUUCGCCACAUUUAAAACACUUAAAAUUUGGUGCUUUAACUGGUUGUGCUCCUCCACCCUGCAUGUUUAUGGGCCUGUUAGUAGAUGUUGGAUUGUUACGAACACCAAACCUAUUAUCAGGACUAGCAGUGUAACCAACCCUCCUUUGCAUCUGCCUUUCCAAAUUCAAUGCUCUCUGGUGUGCUUCAGAAACAUCCAAACAAUCAAACAAGUUCAGUGUAUCCUGGAAAUUCUAACGUAAACCCCCAAUAUAACGAGUAACCAACUGUUUACCCGUCUCUUCAGUAUCAACCCGAAAUACUAAUUGAUAAAACUCUUUAGUAUAUUCUUCAACCAUUUUAGAACCCUGCCGUAGAUUCUGCAAACGAUACCUCUCUGGCGUAGUUAUAAGACAAAAAGUCUGCGCGGAUGUGCUUUUUCAGUUUCUCCCAUACAACAAUAUUGGCUUUCCCUUGCCUACUACGAGUUGACUUUAGUUGUUGCCAUCAUGGAGCAGCCCUUCAACGAAACCUUGUGGCAACUAAAGGAACUUUUUUGUUUUCUGGAACUUCUUUGAACUCCAAAAUCUCUUCAACCGUAUCCAACCAAUCAAUCAAUUCAUCAGCCUGUAGGUUUCUAUGAAACUCUAGAAUAUCGAUUUUCAAUCCAGCCUCCCAUCUACGAUUUUCAUAAGGUUGUCUAGCAACCUCACGAUCAACUUCUGCAAAGUGGUUGUCAAGCCCUUCUUCGUCGUCUCCAGUAUCUGCAUCUUGCGGUUCUGGAACACGACGACGCUCUUGCUGAUUUUGCAAACCAGCCAUCUGACGGGUGAGCGCUUCAACCUGCCGGGUAAGCUCUGCAAUCCUAUCUCUCGCAUACACAUCAUCUAAAAGGGCAUCUCGAAUCACUGCAACACGUCCUCUUCCACCACCAUGGGCCAUUGAAACAGGAUAGUAGCUUAGAAAUCUGAUACCAAAUUGAUGCAGGAACUAGAUCUUGGAACACAAACAAACUCACACCAAUAUUAAGAAGAACACUUCUUUUUCAUUAAUCAAUAAAAACCAAGUCCUUUACAUCUAACAAGAGGCCUUUAUAUAGGCUACAGUUUGAGAAACUACAAAUAGUGCUAGUAUAACAAAUGUGAAUUCAAACAAGCAAACAAACAAUACGCAGAAAGUAAAUAACACACAGAAAUUUUUAACGUGGUAAAACCCAAACUGGGAAACGUCCACGGUUGUCCUCGCGACAACAAAAUAAUCCACUAGAUGAAAAAAGAUGUACAAACCUAUCAACUACCUGCACUCACUGCGAGUUGAUACUCCUGGUUAUCUCUAACACCUUGACUUCACCAGAGCACCUUGAUGUACGCACAAGACACUCGACUUCUUGAUGAACACACAAGAAGACUCGAAGCCGAAUUCACAAUAACUCUUGAAGAUCACAAAGAUAUGAAUUGAGAAAAGGGGGAAGAAAGGGAAUUGAGUUCAAUAGCCACAAACAAUUUCAAUAUCACAAACCUAACCAAAACACAUGAACAAGGAGAAGGAUGGACGGCCAAAGAACUGUCUUGUUCUGUAGAAGAGAAACCCUAUUUAUACUUAGGGUUGAAAACCUAGGAAAAUGGGCCGAAACUGUGCAAACCGACUUUGGACGUUCGUACGUCGAUAUGACGUUCGAACGUCGCCACACAAAAAUAAGCCUGCUGCCUAACAUGACGUACGAACGCUCUAAACCGGUACGUACGUCUCCAUACGAAAACACGUCUGCUGACUACCUGGACGUACGAACGUCCUAACUGAGUACGUACGUCCUGACCAAAAUAAGUUCGCUGCUUCAGUGAACGUACGUACGUCCUAACUCGGUACGUACGUCCAGAACCCAAUAACUUUCCCUAGACAGACCUAAGAGACACAAGGACACGAGACGACCAUGCGUACAACUUGGUUUUCCUAACAAUGAAUUCAAGGCGAGAUAACCAAAGACACUUUGUCACAAAAUUGAUGUCAAACCACUUCGUGCCGGUUUCACCGUUUUCAAAUCCUAACCAAACCAUAAUACUGUAAAAAGGACACAACUAACCUCCAACCCUAACAUAAGACAAAAAUUACCAAAAAUAGAAAGAUUUGAGUUAUAAUCAAAUCUGGACUCUACUCAUCUCUAGGAAUCCAAUGCCACAUACAGCAUGCAAAACGGAGUUCUCUAGAAAGAGAUAUAAACGAAACAAAACUUUCCUAAAAUAGCAAAAUUGGCUUUUUGAAAGUCUAAACGAUGGAACCCCGAAAAACACAACAGCACAAGAGCAAAGCUCGUGUGUCCUGAUCGUUGGCCCGUUUUCCUUUAGAAAAAAGGGUCCUGAUGCCACUUUGGCAAACUGGAAAAAAUCUCAACUUGCCCGCGGGCGGAACAACUUCUGGUGUCGGACAGUCGAGCUACGCUCCCAUUUCCCUUCAAACAUAUCAGCUAACUCCUGUAUGCCAUCACAAGAGAAGGUUCUUUCUCAUUAACACGAAGGAAACAAGCUUAAGGCAACACAAAAGCUAGUGGAGAACAAAAUAAGAAAAAAAAAUAAAAACAAUUACAAACAAAAGUUAUGUUGUUCAAAGUUUUAAACUAACCAUGUUAUAUACUUUUACUCCCACUAUAUAUGAUUUAGAGUAAAUAUACUUAAAGUUUUCUUAUUUGUUUUCCAUACCUAUUUACUCAAAGUUUUCUUAUUUGUUUUCCAUACCUGAAGUUGAGCUGGUCAGAACUACAGUACUAUUAUUAUUCAGGUUUGGAUCUGCUCCGAUCAAAUGGUAAUUUUAGAAUUGUUGCCUAGACUUGAAGCGGAAAUAUUUAGGGUAGGAUUCUAAGUCAUGUCAUAUGCUUAAUUGGCUUCGAAACUCUAUUCGCCUUAGAUUAUCCUUCAAUAAUUGUUCAUCUAUUCUUAUUUUGAUUUCACCAUAAAUGAAUUACUUUACUUCGUUGGUCUAUUAUUCCAAUGAGGAAUUAUGUGAGAUGCUGAUUAAUGACAAGGUUCAUACUUACGUAAGUUUAAAAUGUUAAAAGAAGGUGAAGAUAUUUGCUACUAUAAGUAUGAGGUAAUUCAAGCUUAUAGCUAGCUCAGAAAAAAUCUGUCAGCUUGGUGCAAGUAAACCCUUCCUCUAAAUCUCUCGGUAUUUUGGAGAAACUUUUAUAGACUCACAUAACACCUUCAGCAAAUUUAAAAGAGGUGGUUUGUGUAAGCCCCAAAUAAGUGCAAUCUAAUAAUAAUCAAUUAAGAAACACAAACAAUAAAAUAAAAUACGACUGCUCUGAUCAGUCGCUGGGGCAGUCGUUUAUUUCGAAGUCGUUUUUGUUAAACGACUGCGCACAAAUGUCAGUUAUUUAAAAUAUAAACGACGACCCUAAACAGUGGUUUAUAAGCGACGAGUAAUAGCAGUCGUUUUAUUUUAAACCACAAACCUUCCAACUGUAGCUAAACAACAAUUUUUAGCAGUCGUUUCCUACCGUGUUUUUCACAUAUUUUUCACGUGUUGCCUACACAUGCUUUUCACAUGCAACCUGCACUGUAAUCAGAGAUCCCCACACCCACAUAUAAAUAUAAUUCUAAACAUUUCAGUUUUCUGCAAAUUAAAAGAUACUAUAACUUUUAUAUAUCAACAAAGUGUAUCCAAAGACCUUUCAAAACAACAACUAAUAAUUGUAAUGACAUUCUUACUCGAUAACAAUUUACCGUUCAUAACAAUGACAAUAACAAAAGAUUUCUUGUGACUCAACAAACCAUACUGGUAAUAACAUUGAAAACGUGAUCAAAUGAGUUGGGUUAGGACUAUAUAUAGGCCAUUGAAUUGUGUGCCCCACGUCAUAUCUCCGAAUGUUCUGCCUCUAACACCAAAUAAUUCAGCGGUCCAAUCUUUAACUUCAUCAAUAACAAUCUUAUAUGCAGCUCCCUCAAUACUUGUAAUUGUUCUGUAGGCAACAAGUCUUCCUCCAAUACUUAAUUAACAACUCACACGCUUGUUCAGCAUGAAGAGUUGGUUGGCUAGGUAAAGGAUUCAUUGAUGCCUACAAUCGGGCUGUCUAUGUUGCCAUCCUUAGGAUGACAUCCAUCUUGAUAGCCCAUCAUGUCCAUUGCUUUCUUUGAGAUCUAAUGGUCAUUAAGUAUUCUAUCCUUUUAACCCAAAAUACAUAGGCAACUAUGUCAUUUACCUCUUUUUUUUCUCAUUUCUCUCGGUUAGAAGUUAGAACUAUCAUAUCAUAGCUCUCUCUCUCUGGAAGCCUCCCAAUCGAUUAGAACUCAGAUCUCAAGUCCCACUUGAAGCUCAAUUUCUUUUUCAUUUUUUUCCUUUUUCUAUAUAAUGAAAGGAAAACUAAGGUAGUGUUCAGCAAUAAGUGAUUUUUAAGUGGUGGACCAGGCUAAUAAUAAUUGAAAAGUGAUUUUUAUGGUGUUUGUUUAGAACCAGUGUUCAGAACAUAAUGGACUUUUUCAGCCAUUUUGAACAAGCACAAAUCUCAUGCUUAAUUUAUCUUCUUAAUGCUUAUUCUAAUUUUAUGACAAUUAUACCCAUUUAUAAUACCUUUCAUUAUACGUAUGUCCACAGUCCACGUAGGAUUCCUUCUUCUCUAAUCUCAUGAGAAACCGACUUACACUCUUGACCCUUCCAAGCUAACUGAUCAAUACAUAUUAUAUUUUAUUAUAUAAUCUACCUAUUGAUCUUCAUAAAAUAAGGCCAUAUCUGUUUGUAGAUUGUGGAUGAAUAUGCACUAUAUAAGUCAAUAAUAGUCAUUAGUCAUGAAAGAUUCAUUCAAUGUGUUCUUUCUAUGAUAAUCCAUUAGUUAUAUCAUAUGCAUUGGGUUUAAUUAUUAUAAAAAUGAAAAUGAUGUAUAUAAAUGCAACUAAUUGUCUCGAUUUUUUAAUAUAUUUUUAUUUUGUUUGAUUUUUUUAACCAGGUUUUCUAUAUAAGUUUUUCAAAUUUAAAAUUUCAGUUUUAUUAAGAUGCAUCCAAAGACUAGAAUAAAAGAGGAUAAAUUUGUCAAAUUUAAAAUAAUCAAUUGUAAAACAGAAGUUUUGAAAAAUGAUAAACAAACAACUUUUUCAGCAUUCAAUCUUCAGCAUCCAGCAUUUAGUAUCCAGCAUUCAGCAACCAGUAUUCAGCAUUUUAAACAAACACACCCUAACUAAAAAUCCUUUCUUCUUGGCAUUCAUACCAUCCUUAAUCUCGAAGACGGUGGAGUUUAGUAAAAUAAUUUAGAAUUGCAAAGGUUGCACACUUAAACAAAUUAAUAUAUAAUCAUUUUGUCAUGAACACAAGAAAGUAACUUGGAAAGUGUAAUAGAUGGCAGUGGAAUAUUAGUUUAUGUAACUUUGAAGAGCAAAUUUGGAAUUUGAUUCUGUUUUUUUGUUGGUUCAUGACCUUAUUUUAAUCAGGUUAUAGAUGCUUAAGUAUCCAUUCCUCUACAGCAGAUUGAAAUCUCAUGGGGUAUUCUCAAAUAAACACACUGUCCGUUAAGAACCCAUUCAAGAAGAUGUAUAAUUUUCUUAUAUUUUUCUAAUUGACUCAAGAUAAAAGCAAUUACAAUUGGAAAUUUAGAGUCCCAAGACCCAAAGAUAUGGGUCAUAACUUAUCAAAGAUGUUCAACAUCAAGUGUUUCAGACAUUUUUGGAGUAUGGGAGAAAAAUAUUUCUUACAGUUUUGUCGAUGAAAAGUGGGGAAGAAAGAUAUUAUUCUAAUUACAUAUUUAAUGUCUUCACCAUAACUUACCAAUAUAUUAUAGCCAUUAUAUAUUAUAUAAUCCGAGGAACCAGAUGGGCUGUCAAGAUGGAUGUCAUCCUAAGGAUGGCAGUCUAGACAGCCCAUGUAUAUAUAUAUAUAUAUAUAUUAGUAAGACCAUACUACUAUUCUUGACAGAUUACAAAUGAUAAUACGCCGCCAAAUCAUAAUUUUCAUUGAAAAUAUGAUAUUCCUUAAAAUCUCUAGUAUAAAGAAAGAAUCAAGGAACAGAACAAAAUAGUUAGGGAUCCAAUCCCAAGAGACCAGAAAAUUUCCACUUUUUUCUUUAUUGGCAUGACAUGAGUACAUCCCUCUAAUUACUCAUUAUUUUUUGAUUGCUUGGCAUCAAACAAAAACUACUUUACAACAACAUUGUUGUCCACAUUGAACAUUUCAAUGAAGUACAUGGAACCAAUAUCUAAAUCCUUUGUGUUAAUAAGUUACUUGGCUUCUUGGAUAACAAGCAAAAAGGGGAGUCCCAUCAGAAAUAUUGGCACAAUAUUGGAAACCAGGGUUUGUUACAACAAUUUCACUGCCUCAAGAUUACUAUCCAAAAAUUCUAAACAAGUUCAAAAAAAAUCCAUACCUCAUGAAUACAGCUUGGCUCGUAGAGAAUUGCCUUUGCGAACCUUGUUAGAUUCUUGGCAUCUAAGAAUUGCCUUCAGCCAUUUGGCGCUCCAUAUUAUCCAUUUGGCAUUGAAGCUCCAUGCGGGACAUAUAUUCUUCUUGGGCUUUCUUUUUGUAAGGAGCUAUAACCAUAAGAGUGGUAUUUGAAACAACAAGACCAUAACCUUUUACCCUAUCCCUUCCAUCUUUCCCAAAAACCUAUAUGUGUUUAUGUAAGUUAGUUAUUUGCUUGAAGAGCUUCCACCUUUGCUAAUACUUCAGAACUAGACAAACGCUUCGGAUUCCUCUUUACCAUUAAAUAAUGCUUUUUGCCACCCCGCGAGUUGACCAGUUCCAAACACUUUUGGAGUUACACCGCUUUGAUACUUUUGGACUUACACCCCUGAGUCUGUCCAAUGGCCGACUUAAUGUAUUUAGAUAUGCCUCCAAGGCCGAACAGUAUAUAUACUCUAGAAAACUAGGGUUUUAGAUAUAGAAGAGAAGAGAGAAAACUCAUACAUUACAACUUAGGUUUCUACUCUUGUAUCUUGAAGCAAUAGUCUUCUUAUUAAGGUUUAAGAGCAAAAAAGGUAUGUUUUUCCAAUUGAUGAUGACUUGUUCUUCAUCAAUGGAAGGGUAAACCCUUAGGGUAUAAGUACCUUCCAUUGAUGAAACCAUGAUAUUUAAUUAUAGUUUUUAUGUUUGUUUUUCAUUAAAUCGUCUACAUGCAAAAUAAUUUUAACAAUACUUUCAUAUUGUCGUAUCGAGAGAGAAGUAGUAUGUUAGUUUAUUCUUUGUAGUGUUUUUUUAUGUUUUCCAUGCCUACAUGCUUAAUACCUACAAUACCUGAGAGGUGAGUACAUAAUAACGUUUCAAUAUAAGCUUGCAUUGCUUAGAAGAUGAUAUAUGUACGCUUGCAUGAGUGGAACAAUAUGAUUGAUUACUUAGUAUCUUGUUGCUUUGGGGUUCAUCCAUUCCAUUCAUGCAUCUCAAGUAAAAUAGUUAGACGCAACAGCUGAGAGGUGAGUGUUUAUCUAUCCCGGCAAUAGCUGAGCGGUGAGCCGAGAAGCUACAAUAGCUGAGAGGUGAGUAGAUAAGAACAUGGAUAUUAACUUAAUUAAUGUUAUAGUGAAUUCAUGAGGUGAACAUGUCCCCUAUUCUCUUAUUGAUUAUCUUAUUCCGUUUUAGUAAUUGUAUUUAGAUUAGAAUUAGUUUAAUUAGUGUAUUAUAAAUUCUCUACAAAAUAUUGUGAUAUCUCCUUGGUAGAUUCUAGGGGUGUUAUGUGAGCUGAGCAACUCGAGCUCGGCUCGUGUUCGGCUCGAUUAAAGCUCGGCUCGGGCUCGCUCAUCUUGUAAAACGAGCCGAGCUUGAACAGAUUUAAGGCUCGUCUCGAGCUCGAGCCGAGCCCGAGCUUUAUUCGAGCCGAGCCGAGUAGCUCGAGUUAAAUAAUAUAAAUUACUAGCCUACCCCCACUAAUAUAUCUUAUUCCUAUCCUACCCCAUUAUAUAUUCAACAUAACAGCUUCUUCUUCUUCUGGUUCUGGAAAGUGGAAACCUAGCCGCCGCCCGCCCGUCUCCUUCUUCUUCUCUACUAUUAUUGCAAUUAUCUUGAUUCACUGAUCAGUAGCUGCCAACAGCUUCACAUACCACCACACAUCAUCAAGCAAGGAAAAGAUUGAGUUGUAAUAAGGGCGAGAGCCCCCUGUUCUGUACCAUUGGCCAUUGCGUAGUGUUGUCUUCUGAAAUCCGGCUACUUAUGGCAUAUGAUCUUCGUCCUCAAUGCGAUUGAUGAAAUUUAGGAUUUUUUGUUUUAUGUUUACACAGCAGAAUGACAGUGCCCUUGAGGCAUUUGCAUUUGCUAUAAAGAUUCCUUAAACCCACUCUGUGUAUAAGACAAUCUCUCUCCAUCCAUCUCCAAUCAUCUCAAAAUUCUUAACACAACCAGGCAUAUCCAAAAUCAGAUCCCCCGUUCUAAUGAUGCUUUGUGGAUCACCACUAAACCCCACUUUCACGAUGGCCAUCAAAACCCAAACUUGGUCAUGAGAUCAGUAUACACUAAGUGCGGUGUUAGAAAAUCUUCCUACAUCCUUAGACAUCGUCAUGUCCGUAACUAUGGCAACCAACCGGCAACUGAGACCAAGGAAAGCGAUCUGUUGAUGAUCAGCGACACAAGCACUGAUCAGGUGGAGGGUUCGAGCUUGAUUCGAGCUAAACGAGCUUGGAGGGCUCGAGCUCGGCUCGAGCUAAACGAGCCUAACAAGCUCGAGCUCGAGCUUGAUAAAUAGCUCGCGAGCCGAGCUUGAACAUAAAACCAGGCUCGAUUCAGAAAUUGGGCUCGGCUCGAGCUCGGCUCGUAUUAAAACGAGCCGAGUAUGAGCAUUCAAAGCUCGGCUCGCUCGGCUCGAAUAACACCCCUAGUAGAUUCUUUGUUUCUUCUUGAUUGGAGUGGAUUGAUAUUCUUCAUUAUCACUAUACUCGUAUCCUUAGAACGAUUAUUGUUAUAAUAGUAUUGAGUCAACAACAACAUCUCCUCAUUCAUUGACUGCAUCAACAUCACAUCUGUUUCCAUCUACACCACACUCAAUACCGUUGCAACACAUGUGUGUUUCUUGUUCCUUUUGUUUUUCUUGAUGGUUUACCCAUUGUUAUCAAACUUAACCCGGACACCAACCCGAUGAAGGCAUUGGGUCACUAGGUUAGUAGUUCAAUCACUGGGUCAACUGGUUUCAUAAAAAACCAGUAAAACUCGGCCGGUUUUAGUGGUUCAGAACUGGGUCAUUUGUAAAAACGAUCUAUCGACUAACCCAGCCCAGUUAAAGCGUCAGGUCACCAGUUUUCCGAGUUAACCUGUCGGGCCAGUCUAAUAACACUAUGUUUACAUUUUUUUUAAGGGUAAUAUCCUAAAAAAAAAAAAACCAUGCUUAGGUGCCACUUUCCCAAUAGGCUUGGACAUGCUGCCAUCUUCCCAAACAAACCCCUUGACAUACUUUAUAAUUUUCAAUUGACAAAUUUAUCGUUUGUACUAUUUCUCUAAAACAUGAUUUUAGUAAGGUGUUCUUCAAACAGUGAACCUCCUCCAAGGAUCCUUUGGUGAAUAACAAAAGAUCAUCGGCAUACAUUAAAUGUGUGAUAGCAUUAUUUCUUCUUGAAAGCUACAGUCCAUGAAUUUUCACCCUCGGGCUCCUAUGUAGUUUUAUCCCUAGACAAAUUAUGUGGCAAAACGAGAGAAAACACUUCAGAACACAAGAUGAAGAGAUACGAGGACAAUGGAUCGGAUCGCCUUGUCUGAAACCCUGAGUUGGUUUAAAGAAGCCAAAUGGAGAACUAUUCAACAUGAUAUCACGAGACACUCUUGACACACAAAACAUGAUAUUAUCACCCCCAUAAUCAGUAAAACCAAACUUUUAACAAAACCUGUUUCAAGAAAGAUACAAUACGGGUGUAAAUAGCGUCGUCGUGCAAGAAUUGGAACUUAAUAAACUAGUAAGAAACUAAGAAUCCCAUCCAACAUUAAUGGUUCUAGUACUAGUACAAAUAAGAACCAAACCAAAUAACAACUUUACCCUUAUCCAAAUGAAAACCAGUUGUUCAUAAUUUUCAAACAUGAAAAACCACUUCUCUUCUUCUUCUUCUUCUUCUUCUUUUUCUUUGCAAUGCUUCAUUCUCACUUCUUCCUCUCCCCUAAAUUUUCUCUCACUCUCUCUUCUUCUUCUUAUUAUUUUCCCAUCAAGCAAACCCCUAUUCUUGUUUCUCUUCAACCCCACAUUCAAACCAGACUAAAAACAUGUUUUGCGCAACGUACUGAUACUGAAUCCACCACCAUUACUAGUCCUAUUACUAGUUCAAUAACAACAACAACAACACCACCAUUAGAAGAUGGACCAAUUGAACUCCCACCUUCAUCUUCAUCUAUCUUUGCUACUACAGAUGACCCUACUUCUCUUCAAAUUGCCACUAGUGUUCUUCUUACUGGUGCUAUCUCUGUUUUCCUUUUUCGGUCUCUUCGUCGUCGUGCUAAACGAGCUAAGGAAUUGGUAAUUAGAUUUUUAAUUCCAUUUUUCAUGUUUUUGAGUUCAGUGUUAAUUUAAUUGAUUUGGGUAUGUGUUAAUUUAGUAAUUUAUUUUCAGAUUUGGCUGAAAAAUGUCAUCCAUUUUCUUCUUAUUUUUUUUGAAUUUCAUGUAUUUGUGUUCAAUUUUGAAAAGGGGGUACUUGUUCAUUUGAUUUCUUAAUGUGUUUUAAUGAUGUUGAGGAAAACUUUAAUUAAUAUUUGUAAAUGGUUAUGUUAAACUAGAAAUUUAGGUCCAGUGGCGCGAAGAGUAUCAAAGAGGAAGCUUUAGAUAGUUUGAAGUCGAUGAAGCUAGCUGAUGACCCUGCAACCCCUCCUUCUCCUAUUCAGGCAUUGUUAGGUGGGAUAGCUGCUGGGGCGAUCACACUCAUUCUUUACAAGUUUGCUACUACAGUUGAGGCUGGUCUAAAUCGUCAAGUCAUUUCAGAUAAUUUUUCGGUUCGUAAUGCUUUUACUCUUUGCUUAAAUGUGUUUAUUAUAAAAUUAUUGUUAAAUAAAAAUGCCUAGCACUUAGCUGUUUAAUCUCCAUUUAAUCGCUCUAGUCGCUAGGCACUACCCAACCGCCUAGCUUCCGACUAGCGAUUUUUAGAACAUUGAUUAUAACUAAGUAAAUUUAUAUAAGAUAAAUUUCACUCUCUGUUAUGACUUAAAAUGUUGUGAAACCCUUUCUCUCACUCCUCAAAGAAGAAAAAUUAUAAAACACCAAGGAAAAAAGAAUUUCAAAUAGCCACAUAAAUGACAGCAACUAAAAAGAAUUAACUGUGGCAAAGUUUUUGGUGAGGGUAUCGUCACUUGUAAAUCGUCCUGGGUAUCAUUUUUAUGUAACCAUCAAGAGGGAGGCUAACCAAGGUCAUGAAACAGUAUAUCACAAUCGUAAUGACAGCCCCCAGUAGAGCACCAUUUAAUCUUUGAUUUGUAUAUUUUAGUAGUAUGUCAACAACCUUUUCCUGUAUAAUUGUUUCACACACACACACACCAUAGCAGUUGAAUUUCGGCAGAGAGCUUAUGAUCAUUAGGUAUUGGAGCUCUGUGUUGUGGCUUAUCCACAUUUACUGUUGAGUUGCAUAAUAUUUCUUUGUUUGUUCUAUGCUACAAUAUCACCUUUUCUGUUCUAAUAAACUCGAGUAGUUGAACUGGUACAUUUCAGUUAAAAUUUGGCCAAUUCCUAAACUGAAAGACAAUGUUUUCUUCUUUACAGGUACGUCAGAUAACGAUAACAAUAAGGUGAGGGGUCUAAACUUUUCAACAUUUACCGUACAGUAUAUGAACACAUUUAAGUCAAUCCCCUAAUUCUAUGUUUCCUGAACAUCGCUCAUUUGGAACAUUCAGGACUAUCAUAAAUGGCCUUUGCUAUCUUGCAACAUUUGUUUUUGGCAUCAAUUCUGUUGGUCUAAUUCUCUAUUCAGGCCAACUCGCCAUCAAUUCCUUCAUGGAAGGGUCUACGAGUAAGGAAAGCUCUGGUAAAGAUGAUGGGAACACAAGUACAAAUCCAUUGACUGAUAGUCCUGUAGAUGAUGAGGAAUUCACUAGCAGUAAUGAAGAUAAUUCAGAAAAGACUCAAUAGUGUGAAGACUGCAAUGUCAAGCCAGAGUUAUUUGCCCCCCCCUGUCCUCGGUUGUAUAGUACAUUUGAAAUUUAAGGCACUCCACUAUCCAGAGAUGAGGUAGUCAGUUUCUUGUCCUCUACACAUCUUUUGAAGUUUUUAUUUUUUCAGAGAUGAUUGUGUACGAGCUUUUCCGCAAGUUUCGAUAUAUUCUCAUACUGAAUAAAUUUUUAUAUUUUAUUCUUGGUUUGAUUGGAACGUAUCUAUAAGGAGUGUUUGACCAUUAUUUGUAGUUAGUAUCCAAUCAUAUUAGCUAAGUUAGAAAGACCGAAACAUACACUUCCUAUUCUUGUCUCUGAAACGUAAAACUUAUCAUGAUCAAGCUAGUUGUAGACUGUUUCACAGGUGAGUUGUACAAGUGUAUGGUGCGAAAAAUGCAAAUUAGAUCAAACACUAAGGUACAUCAAAAGUAAACAAAAUACAUUUACUAUUCCUGAAAGCCUGUAUCCAGAGCUCAAAUUUCCGUGGUUUAUCCAUGUUGAGACUGCAUGUUCAUUUCCAGCAUACCCCUUGGAUAUUCGCCAGGCACAACUAGUCUUACAUUUCCUUCUACCCUUUGUGUGUUCUUGUUUGGAGAUCGAUACUCAUGCAUUGGGCAUGAAUUGUUGUCAAGGAAGUAGAGGAUCACUACCAGUAUCACUGAGGAAGCAAACAUUGGGAUUGGACCAAAAAUCCAUAACAUCAAAAUUAUUGCAAAGUAGUGUGCCCGUUGCCCAAGUGACGUAAAGUUACAUCCCAUGACAAUAUCCUGCUGCAUGUACUUUAUAGGUACUUCAGUCCCCGGGGUGCUUAUCAAGCAAGCAGCAUGUGUAAAUUUCCUUGCUGAUUGGCUGAAAGAUGCAAAGGCGAGAAGAAAAAAGGCAAGGACGCUGACAUAUUUGACAGUAUUAAUCCCUGAACUUGUAUCUCCAUAUACCAAGUUACUUGUGAAGAUAUUGUUGUCAGAGCUUCCAAUCACUGAACCGAUGACUGAGCUUAGCGCAAUUGACAGUGAUGCUUGGCUGGUUGCUGCUUCUGUGUUGCUUUAAAUCACCCCUAAAGCAUUCCCAACAUCUGUGGGAUCAGCCUGCAGAAAUCCCGUUAAAGGUAUGAAUUUAGUUUGGAAGCGAGUCAUAAGCGAUGCCAUCUCUCUAGUGGAUAGAAGGAAAUCAGGGACUUACCUGCAUCAUGACCCUCUCCACCCAAGCUCUCUUGUUGUGUGUCUCAUAUCCAAUAGCUGUUGUUUGAGGAAGUUUUAUAAUUCUAUAGAGAAGAAACAGAUGGUAUGCAAGCAUGAUUAUCAAUCCACUUGGGACCAAGAAUAUAUCAAGGUAUUUUUUUUGCCAUUCCAUCUUUUAUCUGAUCAUCAAAUAGCUUUAACAAAGGUGUGUGUUCUGAACUUGUGAACUGUGAUUGUGUUUUGAGUAUUUCUUGUAAUUGUGUUUUGAGUAUUUCUUUAUAAGGUUGAGUUCCGUUUAGGUGAUUUACAAAUUGCUUUGACUUGGUUUUGGAAUGUGUGAUAGCCAUCAGAACAGAUUAUGAGUCAUGGUUUGAUUGCUUGUAGUGUAUAUAAAAUGAUCACUUUGACAUUAUUGAUAACAUCAGGUUAAUUAUAAUUCCUUUGGCAAAAAAACAAUGCAGAAAAGGACUUCUCUCCCACGGAAAUAGGGUUCAAACUUUAGUGACUCGCCUUUAUCUGACAGUUGUUAUCAAUUCAAAAGUGAUUUGAAUAUAUUUCAGUUUUUUGUCAAUUAAUAAGUUUUUCGAGUUCAACCAUUGUCUAUUAACUUUAUUAAUUAUUAAGUCUAAAAUUGUUUCUCUGCAAUAAUCUUUCCUUGCGUUAACAUUCCUCGCUUAUUAUGAAAUACAUAUUCUAGUAAAAAAUUUCCAUUUGGCCAUUGGUAUGUUGGUCAUUUACAAAGGGAGUAUAUGACGAUGAAGGGAUACAGAAUAUGUUUAUACAGACUUCAGUGUCACAGACAACAUUGAUGCAGGAAUGAUUUUACAUCAAACCUGUUGUAUUGCCCAGCUUGUUGUUUUCCAGCAAAUCAGUAAGUAGCGAGUUUGUUCAUCAUAGGUUGCCAUGAUUGUGUCCUGCAUAGCAGAAGGAAGCAUUUACUAUGUGGUAGUGCUUGAUAAGAAAAUUCAAAGAAGCAUUUAUAUUUUUGUUAGACAUAAUUAAAAGAGGGAAAUAGAUAGAACUUACAGUUAAGAGGGACGUUUGAUCUACCAUAAUAGAAGGUUCCAUCUUUGUAUCAUGAAGUGUGAAUGGCGGAUGUCAACCAUCCACUCCUGAGAUUCAUAUUGAUCAAUCGAUCUCUGCCUCCUGCCAAAAACAAGGGACCUACUUAUCAUCCUAGGAGUUUGCAGGUAUACGAGAGUCCCCUCUCUCUCUCUCUCUCUCUCUCUCUCCGAGUUCCUACUACCAAGUAGCACUUAGAAUCGAUUCCGAUCAAGCAAGCAGGAGAAGGUGGUCUGUCCUUUCAUCUCUCUGCCUGCUCCAUGCUGUAUAGAACUAUACCCUAAGGAUCAUGAGCUGGUUGAAGAAGAUGCCAAAGAACAUAUGAGAUAGUUGUUUGGAAACCGUGUAAUUGAUAAAAAGAGUUUGCAUCUUUGUUGUUGGUUUUCGAGGUGGAAAUUGGGAGAGGUUGUUGGGCUUGGGAGUGAUUGUUUAUUUGGAAUAUAUUUAGAUUCAACACAUUGUGGUACAGUAAUUUCUGUUUGAUUAUUGUAAUUUGGAUCCGUCUUUUGGGUUGGAAAGUAAACUUUUCUAGCUUUCCAAUGGUAUAUGGCACACCUUGCAGUUGAUGGUACUUUACUAGGAAAACAGGUAUAACGUUCUGACAAGCAAUGGUAAUAGUUAAUAUUCUGAGGUCUGAUCGGACUGUCAGUUUUUGACAAUGUUAAGGCUUUGAUCACCAGUUUAGACCUCCUAAGCAACUGGAAAAUUCUGCUACCUUAAAGAAGACAUAAAGGCAACAACUGCAAAGAUUAUUACUGAAAACGGUUCUUUCAGUUUACCAUAUUUUUUUUCUUUUCUGUAUUUUAUUAUCUAAGGUGAAAAUCUGUUUUCCCAGUUAACUACCGACCUGAUGUCACACUGCAUCUGUGGGUUGAUCAUUGUUGUAACGCACAAAUAGAAAUAGUGAGCAUUUUUUUAUUUUACCAGAGUUUUCGAGAGGGCUUAUUUUACGGUAAUCCAAUCCGGUGGGGAAAUUAUUCCCAACAAUAAUUUUACAUUCACAGGCUAACACACAAAUUUUCAUGGAAAAUUUCAAACGGCCCCUAUAGCACUUUCUAGCUAUGGUUCUGCAUCCCUUGCAGCAGAUAUUUGCCUCUACUUGGUAUUGUGCCACAACCAGGGUGAAUAUGAGUAUACCCUUAAUCACAGUACCAAAGCCGGUUCUUAAACCUUUGCCUUCCAUCUUCUUCUUCUUGAAUAAUAUCACGCAGCGCAAUCUUAUUACAAAGUAAAUAGAAACUACUUGUUUUGAUGAACUGCUGGAUGAAACUAGACUUCACCCUUCCACUUCAAAUUCAAGCUUCACUUUCCACCUCAAGCUUCACCUAUCACCUCAAUCUAUAAUCUAUAUGCAGCCAAAUCAAUCUAACUUAUUGAUCUCAAAAAUCUCAUUCAUGUUUUCUUAGAACAGAUUAAGAACAGAUUAUAAAACGUCAACUUAAGUUUGAUGAAGGGGUUAGGGGACUAUAUAGUGGCGAUCAAUCUGGAAAAUUCAUCAACUUAUUAAAAAUAAAUUCUUUUUGUUCUACUCCACUAGCUUACUGUGUAACCUAAGCCUUAAUCUUGUUACCUUCGUGUAAAUGGGAAAGAGGAAAAAAGGACAAAGAAUUAUUACUUCCUCCUAAAAGAAAGUAGAUAACUUUAGGCGGAUCUUAGGGCAUCUCUAAUGGUUCAUCAAAUCUUUCAUCAAAUUCAAAUUUGAUGAAAAAGUCAAAAAAACUCCAUCUAAUGGACCAUCAAAACUUUUUCAAAUUUGAUAUUUUAGCAAAAAUCAUCAAAAGUUCAUCAAAUUUGAUGAAAUUUUGAUGAAAAACUUAAGGUUUGAUACUGGGUGAGGCGGGCAAGAGAAGACCGCUUCACUUAAAUCACUUAAAGCGGCUAAUGAAGUGCCGCUUAAAGUGGCACUUCAAAGCCCGCUUUAACUAAGUGGCACUUGGACAGCCCCAUUAACUAAGUGAAGCGGGUGUUGGGGGCCCGCUUUAGUGAAGCGGUCAUCCAUUAGCCGCUUUAACUAAGUGAAGCGGGUGUUGGAGGCCCGCUUUAGUGAAGCGAUCAUCUAUUAGCCGCUUUGUUGAUGAACCAUUAGAUGGAGCAGAUUUUCAAAGCAAAUUUUUCAUCAAAGUAGCAUCAAAUGUGUAUACGUGGACCAUCAAAUUUGAUGAACCAUUAGAGAUGCCCUUAACUGUUGUGUUGUGUGGUCAUUAGCUUAUAAUUAAGACAAAAUUCGUUCAUGUGGGUUAUAAAUGAAAACGAACCAAAACAGUCAAGAAGAGAAGAUCGAAGAAGAUUAGUAAAUACAGAAUACUCGAUCCUUAUUUAGAUAAUGACAAACUAGUAGAAGGGAUAUACAAUGACAAUCCCUCUACGACACAGGCACAAAACGAAAACAAAUUGAAUACUAGCACCAGAGUCUAGCAUACUUGUCAUAGGUGACAAUUAUUGAAAAUAGAAAGAACAACACUCCUGAGGAGCACGCCUUCGCUUGGACGUGUUAUCUCCAUGCAUAUGCUUGCUUAAGAGGUUUCAGAUGCAAUAGCAGAACCCUUGGUGCAGAACUCAGAACAUGCAUUGUUACAUUUUUCAACCGCUACUUUCACAGAUUCUUCAC
rnacentral:lncRNA from 1 species